rnacentral:lncRNA from 1 species
AACAACACAGGAUAACAAGAAGCAACAAAUUUUGGAUGCUUCAUUUACUGAAGCAACGCCCUUCAGUUAUGGAGCAGGCCAUGUGCAACCAAACCUCGCAAUGGAUCCUGGAUUGGUUUAUUACUUAACGGUUAACGAUUACUUGAAUUUUCUUUGUGCACUGGGAUACAACAAAAAUGUAAUUUCAUUGUUCUCAACAAACUGCACUUACACAUGCCCCAAGAAUGCUAUUAUUCUGGUCAACUUCAACUACCCUUCAAUCACAGUCCCUAAACUCUCCGGCUCAAUCACAGUGACGCGAAGAGUCAAGAAUGUUGGCUCUCCGGGAACUUACCAAGCUCGCGUAAAAACUCCGCAAGGAGUCUCAGUGACUAUUGCACCAAAAAGCUUGAAAUUUAUAAAUGUUGGAGAGGAGAAAAGCUUCAAGGUCAACAUUAAAGCUAAGAAUGCAAGUGUUACUAAGGAUUAUGUAUUUGGAGAGUUGAUAUGGUGAGAUGAGAAACAACACCAAGUGAGGAGUCCUAUAGUGGUGAAGGCAGUGUAAUGAAAAACUUAAAAUUUCCCUUCAGCUAAGCUUAAAUAUUUGAUUGAAUAAGCCUUCAUUGUCUUUUUGAUAACGAUGGCCUAUAAAUAAUAUCACCGAUAUCACUAUGUUUUAUUUUCAUAAUUCGGCCAAUGAUACUGUUGUAUAUGCUAAUCAAUUACCAGUAAUAACUUUUAGCAUUUAACAUUGCCAACUUUGUUAAGAUACAUUGCCCACCAAAUGUGGAAUUCGAACAGUCACAACACAUGAACCACAUGCAGCCACAUGAGUCACGUACCAAGAUGGAAAAAAUUAGCACACCAACUCAAUCCCACAUUAACAAGGCAAGUAGCAAAUCAUUGGAAACAAAUAUGGCAAUCCGUAUUGCUCUUGCCAAAGGCUUGCAACAAUCAUCUCACACAAUCUCGUGCAAUGCAAACUCACCAAAGAAAGAUGGCCAACUAGUAUUCAAGUCCAUAUUUUCUUCAUAACUUAGCCAAUGGCUAGUCAACGACUAAGUUUAGAAUUAAUCCCAUAAUAUCUGUAAAAUGUUUCUUCCAUAUAUAAUUCCUUUACUCGUGUAUAAAUACCCGAUCUUGUUCCUUAAGAAAGGAAGUCAAUAAAACUUUUAAGCUUUUUCAAUACUCUUGAAUUUUAGCAUGGUAUCAGAGCUUAUGGCUUCUUCAUCCAAUCUCCAAACCGAGGCCAAACUCUCCCUGCAAACUAUCCACCAAUGUGCCAAUCUAAUAUCUAUCAAACUCUCCAGCAACAACUAUCUCUUAUGGAGGUCCCAAGUCCUUCCCCUAAUAAGUAACCUAGGACUCAACAAGCACAUCCCUGAUGACUCACCACCCCAAACAAUUUUCAGUAAUGGAAAGUCUAUCACCAACCUUGACCUUGCAGUUUGGGCACACAAUAAUGGGUUGCUUCUUACCUGGUUACGUGGAAUGAUGAUGGAAGACGUCCUUACUCUAUUAGUUGGAGGACAAACAGUAAAAGAAGUUUGGCUCUCCAUUGAGGAAAACAUGCUUCCAGCCACCAAGGAGCAAGAGUCUUGGCUUAAAGGCAAUCUCUUCUCCUUAAAGAAAGGCUCCCUGAAGCUUGAUGACUUCUUGAACAAAUUCAGAGGACUGUGUGACAGUCUUUCUGCCAUUAGAAAGCCCUUGACUGACGAUGACAAAGUCUUUCAAUUGGCACGGGCACUAGGACCCAAGUAUGCCAACUUCAAAACGACUAUGCUAACCAAGCCACCUUAUCCAAGUUUGAAACUAUUCCUGUCAGCCUUACAAAAUCAUGAGCAGACUAUGAUCGCUCAGAAAAAUGAUGGCAAAGAAGCGGAUCCACAACAAGCUUUCUUUGGCCAACGUGGACGUGGGAAAAGUUUUCAAGGACAAGGACAAGGACGUGGCUUCAACAACAACCUUCGUGGAAGAGGAAAUUAUCCCUCUAACAAUAGGCACAACAACAUGAACCAAUCUUUCAAUAUGAAUCAAUCACCCUCUAACAACUCUCUACCGCAACCAAGGUUAAAAAAUAAUGGCCCAAAUCUGCCACCUGCACCAAAACACUACAGUACAGAUCAUAUUGAUAAGUGAAAACACAAUUCCAAAUCAGGUAUAAUCUGUCAAAUUUGUGGUAAAACUAACCACAGUACUGCAAUUUGUAGGCACAAGUAUGACUACUUUACCCCUGAAGAGAAAGCACAGCAAGCCUUCGCAGCCAUGAAUCUACAAGACGAGAAUGACCCACAACUUUAUGCUGAUUCAGGUGCUACUGCCCACAUGGUAAAUUGCACUGGUAAGUUAAAGAAAUUUAUACCCUAUGGAGGUUCUCAUAAGAUUUUUGUAGGGAAUGGCCAAAGUUUACAUAUUUCUCAUAUCGGUGAUACCACACAUGGGAAAUUAAACUUAAAAGAUAUUUUGGUUGUUCCCAAACUUAAAAAGAACCUCCUGUCAGUAAGCAAACUUGUGGAUGAUAUAAAUUGUUCUGUGGAAUUUAACUCUCUUGGUUUUGUUGUAAAGAGCAAGGAGAACCAGGUUCUAGCUCAGGGAACUAGGCAUGGGGACUUGUACGUGCUCAAUGAAGGAGGAAAUUUAGCAUUUUAAACAAUAAGAAGAAACUUAAAAAACCAAGACUUGUGGCAUAAGAGACUUGGCCAUCCAAGUUGUAAUACCCCAAAUCUCCUAAGGGUAUUUAAGUCUUUUUAAUUUUUAGUAAUCCCUUUUACCCUAGUAUAAAUAGAACAAGAUGUCUUUUCCAUUAUGAGAGAGGAAGAAGGAGAGAUUGGUUAAAAAAAAAAAUGAAAGAAAGGGAAAAGAGAGAGAGAGAGAGAGAGAGAGAUGGAGAGAAAAGAGAGAAAAGAAAAGAAAAAGAGAAGAAGAAAGACUUCUUCUUUGUUCUGCCAUGAGCAACACAUGAUAUCAAGUUGCAUAAUUUAAAUUGGGUAUUGUUGAGAGAAGAUUUGGAUUUGGAGGUAAGUCUUAAUUCUUGAUUUUUAUCAAUUUGUUGUGGAGAAGUAUGAUUGCAAUAGAAGUAGAAACCUAAUAUUUACAGAAAUAUGCUGACAGUGAAUUAUUACGAAAAUAAUAGUAAUUUGUACAAAUUGAUUUUGAUUCUGAAUUUUGUAUAUGUUAAACUAGACAUCGUCUAUAAUGUUUUCAAACUUAUUUCAAGUUAAUCGGAUAAGAUUUCAAUUAAUUACGAUUUUUCAAACUCAAGUCUGAAAAACUGGAAAUUUCUGAUUUCAUUGAAUAACGUGAAUUACAAAAUUAUUUUUACCAUAGCUAGACUUCUUCAAAAAUUAUGAAAUUUGGAUCAAUGAUUUUUAUAUAUGUCUAGUAUGAUUCUGUAAAUGUUCAUGAUUUUAUGAUAAACCAAUAAAUUGUUUUUCAUUUUUAAAACAAGUAUGUUCAAAACAGAAAAUUGUUUGACAAUAUUGAUGAUGUUUGAAACGUAAAUUACUAUCAAUAGUUUUUGAAUGAAUUAAGUUAUGAAAUUUUUAUCAAUGAACUUUCAAUAUGUCAGCAUAUGUUCUGUAAAAUUUUAUUUUUUUUGAAUAAGGGAAUAAUUUAUUAAAAAUCAGAGAACAUGAACUGUUCUGUUUUGAGGGCUAAAUAAUGAGGACAUUUGAGGUUGAGUUUAGGAGCUGUUUGAAAUGAGAUAUUUGAGGACAUAGAGUUUAUGAUUGGGAUUUUGUUUAAGGUUAGAGAUUAUAUUGAUAAGGAUAUUUUUAUGAUGAUUAUAGGAUAUGGGUGAGCUUGUUGGUUUGUUCUGGAGGUAUUGAGUUGAUUGCUGCGGAUCGAGGUAAGUAGAUUCAUGCAUGGUGUGCUUUAUAAUAAAUGCAAUUUAUGUUAUAAGAAUUAUGUUUAAAUGAAAAUUUUUACAAAACUGAUUUCUAAAAUAUUUAAAUGAAUUUUUCAAAGUAAAAACAUUUUUUAAAUGAAUUUAUAUAAAUGUAUUUUAAAAUGAAUUUUUCUUAAGAAACUAGUUUUCUUAAACAAAAUGUUUUCUUAAAGAAUUUUCGAAAAGAAUUAAAUGAUCAAAGAAAGGUUCUUAAAUGUUUUAGAAGACUUAAAAUACUAUUUAUGAAAGGAUGUAAGGUGGAUUCAAAAAUGUUUUGGCUCAUCGUCCGUAGUAAUGUAUAUGAUGCUAAUGUUAUGAUGUUAUGUAAUGCUAUGGCCAACUUGCUGGUAUGAUGAUGAUCUUGUGCACAAGGAUGUUAUGAACAAUGUGAGGUAUAGUACCCUGAAUGAGGAACAAUGCGGGGUAUAACACCCUAAAUGAUGAAUGAUGAAUGAUGAUGACUACGAGGCAUGAGCUACCAAUGUUUACGUUUUAAUGUUUUUAUGAAUGUUUUAAUGUUUUUAUAUGAAUCCACCUCUUAUGCUAAAUGAAGAUGUUGUUAUAAAAAUGUUUUGGCUCAUCGUCCGUAGUAAUGUAUAUGAUGCUAAUGUUAUGAUGUUAUGUAAUGCUAUGGCCAACUUGCUGGUAUGAUGAUGAUCUUGUGCACAAGGAUGUUAUGAACAAUGUGAGGUAUAGUACCCUGAAUGAGGAACAAUGCGGGGUAUAACACCCUAAAUGAUGAAUGAUGAAUGAUGAUGACUACGAGGCAUGAGCUACCAAUGUUUACGUUUUAAUGUUUUUAUGAAUGUUUUAAUGUUUUUAUAUGAAUCCACCUCUUAUGCUAAAUGAAGAUGUUGUUAUAAAAUGUUUAAAGGUAUAUGACAGGCUUUCAAAUAUUGUGCAUGGAUUUGCUUAUUGAGUUGACGGCUCACCCCUCGUCUCCAAUAUUUUGCAGAUUGAUUAGAAAUGUGGCUUGAGUUCUUAGAUGGAGAAUUUUUCUUAGUGGAUCUUUGGAGUUGCUUUAAAGAUUAAAUUUGGCUAGACUUCCUAUUUUGGAUUAGAGACUUUUCUUUGGAUACCUUAUUUCAUAUGUUUUAUGUAAGGAUUCAGUUGGAGUAUGAAUAAUGAUUGUCUAUCUUGAGAUUUAUUAAUAAGAAUAAAAGAUGUGAGGUUUUCAUUCCAAUUUUACCCUUGUGUUUUCAUGGGUAAUUUUGGGGUGUUACACAAGUCCUAAAAUAUUACAAGUCUUGUGCGCUGAUGGGUCUAUUAGUAUAACUGAUUGGACUAAGAACACUAGUAUUUGUGUUUCAUGUCAAUUAGGGAAAAACUACAAACUCCCAUUCAAUUUUUCUAAUAAAAUUUCUGAUUUUCCUCUUGAUAAAAUUCAUUGUGACUUAUGGGGCCCUACUCCAAUUGCUUCUAAUCAAGGUUUUCGUUACUAUGUAUUGUUUGUGGAUGAUUGUAUACGUUAUUGUUGGUUAUUUCCCUUAAAAUCAAAAUCUGAUUUUUUUGAGUGUUUUCUUAAAUUCCAAAAAUAGGUGGAAAAUCAAAUGGAACAAAAGAUCAAAAUUUCAUAGUGAUGGCAGAGGAUAAUUUAACUUUAUCAUUUUCCAUCAACAUGUUCAACAGUCUGGAAUCAUCAAACAAACUUCAUGUCCUUAUACUCCUCAACAAAAUGGAGUUGCCGAAAGAAAACAUAGACAUAUAAUGGAGUCUGCCCUUACUAUGUUAUUUGAAUCUUCUUUACCAUUAAAUAUUGGGUUGAGGCUGUUUUAACAUCUGUAUAUCUCAUUAAUAAAUUGCCACAAACAAUUAUUAAUAUGCACACAUCUCAUGAGUUACUUUUCAAGGAAACUCCUAGUUACAAUGAAAUUAAAGUUUUUGGUUGCCGUUGUUUUCCCUCUCUGAGGGAUUACAAUAAAACUAAGUUUGACAAAAAAACUCUUCCUUGUAUUUUUGUUGGUUACAGCCCCACUCACAAGGGAUACCGCUGUCUUUUUCCACAAAACAAUCGAAUUUAUAUUUCUCGUCAUGUAACCUUUGAUGAAUUAUGCUUUCCUUAUCAAAAUUUAAAAGAUUCUUCUUCUAUGCAGGAUGCUUAUAGCGUUCCCACUACUCCAAAUGUGUCACAAUGGCUCCCAACAACUUUGACGGAGUACUUCAACAACACUUCUCUUGGGCACACUAAAGUUGCUAAUCCAAACUACACUGCCACAAAUGAACCAUUGUCUCCCACUCCAAACAAAGUUGUAAUAAUUGAAGACCUUCAUGAACCUCCCACCUCUUUACCCGAAAGUCCCUUUACAAAUUCACCUCAAAAGAGCCUGUUGUGCAAAUUUUAUUGAACUCGCAAGUGCACGAAUCUAUUGUAGAAUAGACUAAUGGUGACGAGUGUCGAUCCCGCGAGGAGGUGGAUUUUAAUUGUGUGUAGAAUUAAUUUUCUAAAUGGGUAGUUGGAUUUGUGGUGAAAAUGAUUUGGAUUAUCCUAAAAUUGGAAUUUAAAUGGCGAGAAUAAAUUGAAUAGAAAUCUAUUAAAAUGACGUACUUGGGUAUCUGGAUCCGUAUCAACAUGCACCAUGGGCUAAAUAUUCCUUAUUAAUAUCAAUUAAAUCAUGAGGGGGGAAUCCACAACUCAUGAAUCACACUCUAAUCAAUAUGGUGCUAAGGGCUUAUCGUGCCAAAUAAUAAUAACCUUGUACUAGAGAGCCGGUGAAACCAAGGCGGUAUCUAGACAAGAUUAUUAUUAUUUGUCGACGAGAAGUCAAAACAUCCACAAAAGCUAGAGGGGAAGAGAAAAUAAUUUUACCAAAUAAAGCCCAUGACACAUGUUGAGACUUCACCUUCAACCCAAGCUUGAAAGAAAAUUAGCUACCCAUAAUUGAACUAGGGGUAAAAUAAAAAUUUAUUAAAAUACGUAGAAAAUACAAGAUGGAGAAGGAAUUACAGAAAAUGGAUCCCAAAAAUGGAUUCAGAGAUAUCAAAUUAGGGGAGGGAAGGCCCCCUUUUUAUAGAUACAUUGAGUAAAUCAUGGCCAUCAGAUUAAAAAUAGUUUGGACGCUCAGGAUUGCGCCACGUCAUCAGUCAACAGUACACGGUUUGACCACGUGAGUGAACAGUAAUACAGUUUGACCCGGCUUUGAACAGUAACGCAGUUUGGUUGAAAAUAAUCAUGUGUAAUGCAUGUACCGUACGCGCAAGUUUUGGUCCACUAAUAUGCUGCCACGUCACCAUCAACAGUUCAUAAGAAUUUUAGACCAACAGGAUCAUGACACCUCAUCAGUCAAUGCCACGUCAUCGAUCGUCUAUGUAAACAGUAACGUAGACAGUACCAUACAUGUGAAUAGUACUGUACAUGUGAACAGUGCCAUUUUUCCUUUCAUGCUCCUCCUAAGGUUUUCGACCGUCCUGAGUUCAAAAGUGAUGUCCGUUUUGCCGUUUGAUCUCUCGUUUAUUGUGAAAUGACUAUGAUGCCCCUAAAAUACACAAAAUACUUAAUUAAAAUAAAACACACAUAAUUAAAUUACAAGAACCUUAAAUACAUAAAAGUAAGGGUUGUUAGUAAGACUUGAAAUGUAAAAUGACGAUUUUCUCCUUUAUAAAUAUGCAUUUUCUAACACUCAACACACCCCCCAACCAGCUUAUUGCUAGUCCCUAACAAAUAAAGCGAAAACAAAAUUCAAACACAAAUUUUUUUUUUUAAACAAUCUUGUUUAUUCAAUCAGACUAAUGAUAGCAAUCAAAUAAAAGUAUAAGCAUUAUCUCCAGUCUAAAGCAACAUCACACCCACAUCAACCAUCCACAUGAAUCAGCCUAGUAGAUUGUCAUAGCUACUUUCAAGAAUGACAUGUCAAACCCCAAAAUUUCACUAGAAGUAGUGACACUCUCACAAAGAAAUUAAACCCAAUAAAAAUAGUCACUCCAAUGAAUGGUACUUGAGAGAGAAAAUAAUAAAGAAGUGAUAUCACAUGCUCUCACCAAGAUGAAAGAAAUGUGCCCUCAGCUUAGAAAUAAUACGAUCUCAAGUCAAAUAAAAAUGUUAGUCAACCCAAUUUAUUUAUUUAUUUUUAUUUAUUUAUUAUUUUUUUUUAUGCACCACUACAUCUUUUUAGCCCAUAUAACUAACUUCUACUUCAGACUAUAGUUCCCUAAAAUCAAGAAGAACUUUUAUUAGGAUGUAACGUAGGCUAGCGACAUGGCUAACAAAGAAGGGAAAUAAGGAAAACAAAGUGUAUGUUUGAGAAAAAUGUAGAGGAAUUUUUUUUCACCUAUUAUUGUUAUUAUUUUUUUUUUUUUGCUUUUGCUUGGCACAACGUCACUGAACAAAAUAAUUAUUUACAUUUUUCUCAAACAUAAAUAGGUGAUGGAACUUAUAAGACAUCGGGUAAUACUCCAAAUCGGAGUGGGUCAAGAUUAUAAGUUUAACAAAUAAAAGGUUUUUUUUUUUCCUUUUUUUUUAAAAGGCUCAAAAUGGUUAACUAUGGAUAUUUCAUAAAAGGGAUGGCUAGAAAGGCUCAAACGGAUCAAAGAUGACUUUUCCAUCGUCUUUUAGGGCUAUAAAUAAUCUUCCAUAUCUACUAGUUAGAUGGGCCUCCAAAUGUAGCAACACACAUUUUUUUUCUCUUUUUCUUUUUUUUUUACAAUUUUUUUUAAGGGUUAACUCAAAAGAAAUCUAGAGAUCGUGUAUAAAAUAAUAAACUGCUAAGUUAUAUAAAGAAUGGGCAAAAAUGUUACUCUCCAAGAAAAAUAAUAGGCUCAAAAACUCACUUGAUACUUAUUAUGACAUGUUCAUUCCUUCAAGCAACUCAUAUUUGUCUCUGACAUCAACAUGUAAAGUAGCAAACAUGGCGUAACAUCACUUAAGACCAAAGAUAAUACAAAUACUAAAAUUUAAAAUUAAUCAUGUCAUCUAAUGUUAAAACAAAUCACACAAAAUUUUUUUUAAACAACAUUAUACCCCCCAACCUAUCCUAAACAUGAAAGGAAAAUAUGCAUGCAGAAAUGUGAAAAGGAUGCAUAAAAACUAAUUAGAAAAGUUACACGUAAAAUGAUAGAAAAAGAAAAAAUAUAUAUAUAUUUUUUUACUAAGAAGAUGUGUUUCUAGAGUCACUACACUCCAUAUUCAGCCAUCUUCGACUCAAAAAUUUAAAAAUGUAUAUUUAUAGAGGGGAAAUUAAAAAGAAGAAGAAAAAUGAAAAUCAAAACUUAAUAAAGAAAAAGAAAAUAUAGGAAUUUUUUUUUGUUUUUUUAAUUUUUUUAUGUUUUUUUUUAAAACGAUGAAGAUGCGUUUCUAGAGUCACUACACUCCAUAUUCAGCCAUCUUCAACACAACAAAUUAGCAACAGUUAGUUUCUACAACAAAAAAUAAGUAAAAACUUAACCAAGAUUCCACAAUUGGCGACUAUUCCCUCCCCCCAACCAGAACGAAACAUUGUCCUCAAUAUUGUAAAGGAAAGAAGUAGAGUUUGAAAGACAUCACCUGGGUGGUGCAACACAGAAGAAAAUAUUUACAGGCGGAGAGUUAAAUCUAAUUUGCACUUCUUACUGCGGCUAUUGUUACCGUCAUUAUUUGGACGCUCCAACACAAAGGUCCAGGGGUCUGGCUCCGGUUUAUAAGCUUGUAACAUAUCAAGUAGCUCAUUAGCAGUGUGAGCACAAAUAAAAAGUUUUUUCGCACUGGAAGGAAUGAAGUAGUUUUUUAUUGCAUGGUUAAGAAAUGCAAUGAAGCCAUCAUAAAAGUUAUUGACAUUUAACAAACCGAUGAGUUUCUGGUGAAUGUGCAGAUGGGCCCAAGAUGCUAGUGUGAUAAGUGCCUCUAGUGUUGCAAGAUCUCCUGGAAGGAAAAUAAAAGCAUCAGCAUGAUUAAGCAUUUCAGUUAUUCUUUCUUGCAUACCUGAGACGACUAAUUCUUCUCCAGUUGGUGAGUCAGACAAACUGCCCAAAGGUUUUAGGACUCUUGGGAUGAUGCCUAACACUUGGCUUCCUUUGAAAAAAGCAGCUUCUGAAACCAAUUUUGAUAACCCUCGGUUACCUCCUCCAUAUACCAAGUGUAAUUUUCUCUCUGCUAUGCUUCGACCAAGAUCUACAGCUGCAUCAACGAACUCUUUAUGUUUGCCAUAGGUAAAUCCAGAAAGCACACAAAUGUUCUUGAAUUGUCUAUUGGGAGUAGCUGCCAUUGGAAUAUUUCUCAAAAAUAAUUUGUGAGUGCUUAACAAAAAGUCAUAUUUAAGAAUAUUGGUGACAAUGGGUCACAACUGUGUAUGAGGUGGCAUGUCAGUGUCAAAUAACGCGUAAAGCACAUGGCUCGUGAGUAAAAAAAGAAACAGUAAAAAGAAAAAGAAAUAAUGAUAAAAUAAAAUUAUUAAAGACAAUAAUGCAAAAGAUAAAAUAACAGUGAAAUAAAAUAACAGUGAAGUAAAAGGAUAUUUACAGGUAGUUGCGACUGUGGCUCACAUCUUCCUCUGGUUUUACGUCCAGAAACGGCUUGAACGCCCUCUAUGGGUCGAGAAUAGGCUUCCCAUCCAGUUUUCUUAUAAACUGGCAAACAAGGUCGUUUAUAGUCAGAUUCCCGAGACUAUAUCGUGCGUGCUCUUUUUGGAAUAAUGGUCAUAACUGAAGAAUCGCUCCUUGCACAUAUCCAUUGGGAUGCGUUUCAAGAGACAGAAGGAUAUCAUCCAAUGACUUCUUAUUCAAGCCAUCCCUAAUGAAUUGAAUCUUAUCUUCUUUGUUAUCAGACAUCAUUCCUAAAGAAUAUAGUUUUUUAUUGCAACUCAUUCUGGCACACUUAUGACAAGCAACAUAAAUUCUUUGAGCUCGUCGUUUUUUUGCAUAAUUUCCUUUACCACAACCAGGCAUGUAUGCAAUAAAUUUUGGAGGUAACUCACCUGCCAAUCGUACUUUAGCCUUGAUUAACCAACGGAUGUCAGCAGGUAUGUUAUUCCUCAUGAGUAAUCGCAUGUGUUCGGACCGGGCUUUAUAGAUCGUAAGGAGGGCAUUCUGAGGGAGUAAAGGGAAUCGCUUGUGAAGCUUCGCUAAAAUCUCGUUUCUGUCCAUACCUUCGCCUCAGAAUGUCAGUUAUACUGGGAAACUGAAGUAACUGACUUGAUUGUCAUGGAGUAUCGUUAUCCGCCACUUCAUCGGGGUAACAAACUAAAGCACACAAACAGAAAUACAAAUUAAAACACACAAAGAAAAUUAAAAUCGUCCUCUUAUUGAAUUUACCUCAAGCUCCAACUGGAUGUCGUAAACACUUCUCUCAAUGUCUCUAAGUUGGCUUUCUAAACCCUCAACAUAGGAUACUAACUCUGGUGGUUGCAGAGCCCAAAUACGAUGUGUUUUACAAAAUUGAAUCUGCCUUUUGAGAUGAGAUUUUACACGUUGAAGUGGUUUAAGAAUGUUCAGGAGGAACGGUUUAAGUAUGGUACUCAUGAUUAACAAUGAUAAGAAAAAAAAACUUAAUGGUUAAACAAACACACUUAUGCAAAAAUAAUUUCAAUUAGCAAAAAUAAUAAAAAGAGAGAAAAAAAUCAAAUCACCGAAAAGAAAAAAAGAAAAACUUAAUUCAAAUCUGGUGGGUUACUCAAAUUUAUUUCGGUGUCUUCUCCAUGUGGUUGGUACUCUAGAUAUGGCUUUAAUCUUUGACCAUUAACUUUAAACGUGACACCGUUCUUUGGGUCCUUAAUUUCAAUUGCCCCAUGUGGAAAAACAGUAUGAACAAUAAAGGGGCCAGACCAUCGAGAGCGUAACUUACCUGGGAAUAGGUGCAAGCGAGAAUUGAAUUAAAGUACUUUCUGACUUGGAGUGAACGAUUUUUUCAUAAUUUGUUUGUCAUGGAAGACUUUCAUUCGUUGCUUGUAAAUCUUGGCAUUUUCGUAUGCGUCAUUACGAAUUUCUUCAAGUUCUGCCAGUUGUAAUCUUCUUUCUGAGCUGGCUUGCUGCAUAUCAAAGUUAAAUUUCUUGAUGGCCCAAUAUGCACGAUGCUCGAGUUCCACAGGUAGGUGGCAAGCUUUUUAAUACACUAGCCUGUAAGGUGACAUCCCAAUCGGGGUCUUGAAAGCCAUUCUAUAUGCCCAUAAUGCAUUAUCAAGUCUUAAUGACCAAUCUUUUCUGUCUGGCCUCACCGUCUUUUCUCAUAUGUGCUUUAUUUCUCGAUUGGAGAUCUCAACUUGGCCACUGGUUUGCGGAUGAUAUAAGGUCCCCACUUUGUGAGUGAUUGAAUACUUUGUCAAAAGAGCUUUGAAUGUUUUGUUACAAAAGUGGGCACCACCAUCACUGAUUAUAGCUCGAGGGAAUCCAAAGCGUGAAACAAUGUUGCUUUUAAAAAAUCCUAUCACCACAUUGUGAUCAUUGGUUCUACAUGGAAUUGCUUCUACCUAUUUCGAUACGUAGUCAACAGCAACCAAUAUGUAUUGAUGGCCAAAAGAAGGGGGAAAGGGUCCCAUGAAGUCGAUACCCUAUACGUCAAAAAUCUCAACCACUAAAAUUGGAUUUAGUGGCAUCAUGUUCCUUCGUGUAAUGCUCCCCAUUCGUUGACACCUAUCACAUGAAGAACAGAAAGUGUAACUCAAAAUAUAGUUGGCCAAUAGAAACCACAUUGUAAAACUUUAGUCGUUGUUUUCUUAGCACUGAAAUGGCCUCCACAAGCUUGUUCAUGGCAGAAUGAAAGGAUAUUUUGAAUUUCACUUUCUGGGACACAUCGUCUAACAAUUUGAUCUGCACAAUACUUGAACAAAUACGAGUCAUUCCAAAAGAAAUUCUUUAUUUCUGCAAAGAAUUUAGCCUUGUCUUGCUUGGUCCAAUGCUCUGGAAGUUGACCUGUAACAAGAUAAUUAACUAUAUCAGCAUACCAUGGUAAUAUUUCUACACUCAUCAAUUGUUCAUCUGGAAAUGACUCAUUCAAUGGUAAUGAUUCCAUAAUUGUGUCAAAAUGGAGACGAGAGAGAUGGUCAGCUACAACAUUCUCUGUGCCUUUCUUAUCUUUAAAUUCCAAGUCGAAUUCCUGCAAAAGUAACACCCAACAAAUUAGUCUAGCUUUUACAUCUUUCUUUGGGAGAAGAUAUUUAAGAGCAACAUGAUCUGUGAAUAUAAUUAUUUUACAACCAAUGAGAUAAGAUCGAAAUUUCUCUAAUGCAAACACUACUGCUAGCAUUUCUUUUUCAGUAGUUGAAUAGUUCAACUGUACAUCAUUCAAUGUCAUACUAGCAUAGUAAAUAACAUGGGGAAUUCAAUCAACUCUUUGUCCUAAUACUGCUCCUACUGCAUAAUCAGAUGCAUCACACAUGAGUUCAAAUGGUAAGCUCCAGUUUGGGGGCUGAAUGAUGAGUGAUGAUGUCAACAAUUGCUUUAAUUUUUCAAAAGCCACAAAACAUGAAUCCUUAAAGAUAAAAGGUACAUCCUUAGCAAGUAGAUUGCAUAAGGGUCUAGAAACUUUGCUAAAAUCUUUAAUGAAACGUCUAUAAAAACCAGCAUGUCCAAGGAAAGAUCUUACUUCUCUGACUAUUUUGGGUGGAGAAAGAUUAGAAAUGAGAUCCACAUUGGCUUUGUCAACCUCAAUACCUUUGCUCGAAAUGAUGUGACCGAGAACAAUACCUUAUUUUACCAUAAAAUGACACUUCUCCCAAUUCAAGACUAAGUUCUUCUCGGUACAUCUCUGCAGAACUAGUGUUAGAUGAUGUAAACAUUGAUCAAACGAGUCACCAAAGACAGAAAAGUCAUUCAUAAAGACUUCAAGGAAUCAUUCAACCAUAUAAGAAAAAAUGCUUAACAUGCAUCGUUGAAAUGUAGCAGGUGCAUUACAUAAUCCUAAUGGCAUCCUCCUAUAUGCAAAAGUGCCAAAAGGGCAAGUGAAAGUGGUUUUCUCUUGAUCUUUCGGUGCUAUGGGAAUCUGAUUAUAUCCAUCUAGAAAGGAAUAAAAUUCAUGGCCUGCUAAUCUAUCAAGCAUUUGAUCGAUAAAUGGUAAAGGAAAAUGGUCUUUACGUGUGACAGAAUUCAACUUUCUAUAAUCAAUGCAUACACACCAUCCUGUAGUUACUCUAGUUGGUAUCAAUUCAUUAUCGGCAUUGGUAACUACCGUGACUCCUGACUUUUUAGGGACAACUUAUACAGGACUGACCCAUGAACUAUCAGAAAUUGGGUAAAUGAUACCUGUGUCUAAUAGAUUAAGGACUUCAGUUCUAACAACUUCUUUCAUGUUAGGAUUUAACCGACGUUGUAUUUCCUUAGUAGAUUUAGCAUUUUCAUCAAGGUGAAUGUAAUGCAUGCAGUCUACUGGGUUUAUACCUUUGACGUCUGCUAUGGUCCAUCCUAAUACUCCUUUGUGCUAUUUUAAAACAUCCAACAACUUACCUUUUUGUUCGUCAUUUAAGGAUGAUGAGAUGAUUACCGAUAGAGUAUUUUCUUCUCCCAAAAAUGCAUAUUCCAAAGUAUUGGGUAAUGGUUUGACUCGAGUUUUGGUGGUGAUUCUGAUGAUGGGAUGAGUUUCUUUUCUGAUGGUACUAGUUGUUCAACUCUUGACUUCUCUUUAUUAGUGUCCAUGGAUGGUACUGAGUCAAGCAGGGCGUUGACCUCAUCGACUGAUCUGUCAAUAUCAAAAUCCAAACCAAAGUGAGUUAAGCAUGUUUGUAAAGGAUCGUCACUGAGGUUUGAAAGAAAAGUAUCAUCAACUAAUGCUUCAAUUAAAUCCACAUCAACAAUUCCAUCAUCUGCAUUGUGAGGUUGUUUGGCAAUGUUGAAGAUGUUCAGCUCCAUAGUCAUGUUGCCGAAGGACAACUGCAUAUUUCCAGUCCUGCAUUGAAUGUGAGCAUCCGCAGUUGCCAAGAAAGGUCGGCCUAAAAUAAUGGGGGUGUGCUUCCUUAAAUCUUAUAUUGGUUGAGGGUCAAUUACAAUGAAAUCAACAGGAAAAUAAAACUUGUCUACCUGGAUAAGCACGUCCUCCACAAUACCACAAGGUAUUUUCGUGGACCGAUCUGUAAGCUGUAACACUACUGGAGUUGGGUGUAAUUCUCCAAGUCCAAGUUUCAAAAAUACUGAGUAAGGCAACAUAUUUACACUAGGUCCUAAAUCCAACAAAGCAUUCUCAAUUGUGUGGUUCCCUAUACUACAUGAGAUAGUGGGGGAGCCUGGGUCUUUGCAUUUUAGAGGAAUUUUAUGUUGGAGGAUAGAACUAACGUUUUCUGUUAAAAAUGCCUUCUUUCGAACAUGAAUGUUUCUCUUUUUAGUACAAAGGUCUUUAAGAAACUUGGCAUAAGAUGGAACUUGUUUUAUAGCAUUAAGUAAAGGGAUGUUAACACUUACCUGUUUGAAGAUUUCAAGAAUCUUACAUGUGGAUUUUCCCUUCUUUGCUUUAGCUAACCUAUGAGGAAAUGGAGCUUUGGGAACAUAUUCUCGUGGGUUGGUUUCUUCUUUCUCUUCGGAUGGUGAGUCCUUAACAUUUAUAGGUACAAUUUGAUUUUCUUUUGUCACCGGCAUCUCCACUUUGUUGUCGACUUCUUUUCCUUUUCGCAAGGUCAUGACUGCUUUGACCUCUCCAUCCUGCUGUGGUGAACUGGUACUUACUUCAUGUACUCCUUUAGGAUUAGGCACUGGUUGACUUGGAAAUUUACCUUUCUCAACAAUCAUUGCCAAGGUCUGGACUGAAGAAGCAAGUUGUCCCACCAUUUUCUCGAGGCUUGAAACUGAUUGGGCUUGUGAGUUGAAGCCUGCUCUCAACUCAUUUCAUAGUCCAUUAAUGGUGCAGUUUUGUUGCUCAAUCGUGGAGUGAGUAAGAUUCUUGAGAUUCUGGAAUGAAUCCUCCCAUAGUUUGGGUUGAGAGUAAUUCUGGUUCUGAUUGUAUGGUCUAAAUGGUGGCUGAGAGGCUUGAGGAAUUAGAGGAAUUAGUUGCAUUGGUGGAGCUGGAGCUGCUGGUCCAUUCUGUUGGAAUCCUUGAGACCAUGAAAAAUUAGGGUAGUCUCUCCAUCCAGGGUUAUAUGUGUUGGAGUAUGGGUAGUAAUUUGAUGGUUUUCUCAUUACACCUAUGACAUUGGCUUGAUCUAAGUAUGAGUCAUGGUUAUGUGGCUCUGUUGAUUUAGCAGUCGAUAACGAUGCUAUUUGUCGAGCGAGACCUUCAACCAUCUCCUUGACUUCUUUAAUUUCUAAACUUGACUCGCCAAUGUGAACCUCAUUUACUCCCUUACCUUAGGGCAAAUUUAAUCUCAUGGUGUAGCAAGAAACAAAGCAUUGUUGCACGCUCCAUUGCUGAAGCAAAAUAUCAGGCUUUAUCUUCCACUACAGCUGAACUAACUUGGCUUCUUUCUUUAUUGCAGGACAUUGAGGUCUCACCAUCCCACCUUCUUCACUUUUUUUGUGAUAACAAGAGCGCCAUCUAUAUGACACGCAACCCAAUGUUUCAUGCUCGCAGCAAGCAUAUAGAAAUUGGCGUCAAAUUUGUUCGUGAAAAAUCUCUCAAGGACUCCUUAAAGCCACGCAUGUUCCCGCCUUAUAGCAAGUUGCCGAUAUCCUUACCAAACCAUUGGGCAAAGAUCUUUUCUUUCUCUUUCGACACAAGCUGGGCGUUCACUCUAUGACCCGGCCGAUCUUGAGAGGGGCUGUUAAGAUACAUGGCCCACUAAAUGUGGAAUUCGAACAGUCACAACACAUGAACCACAUGCAACCACAUAAGUCACGUACCAAUAUGGAAAAAAUCAGCACACCAACUCAAUCCCACAUUAACAAGGCAAGUAGCAAAACAUUGGAAACAAAUAUGGCAAUCUGUGUUGCUCUUGCCAAAGGCUUGCAACAAUCAUCUCACACAAUCCCGUGACAUGCAAACUCACCAAAGAAAGAUGGCCAACUAUUAUUCAGUCCAUAUUUUCUUCAUAACUUAGCCAACGGCUAGUCAAUGACUAAGUUUAGAAUUAAUCCCAUAAUAUCUGUAAAAUGUUUCUUCCAUAUAUAAUUCCUUUACACGUGUAUAAAUACCCGAUCUUGUUCCUUAAGAAAGGAAGUCAAUAAAACUUUUAAGCUUUUUCAAUACUCUUGAAUUUUAGCAAACUUAUCACAACAUUUUGGUUGAAAGCAAUCAAAUUAAAAGUAGAUUGGAAAGAGCAAGGGCAAAUACUUGUUAUUAAUUGUUGCCUAAUGAAUUGAGGUAAUAUAAAUAUGAUUUUUUUUUGGUACAAUGGGGCUCUUCACAACAAAGAGCUAAAACAAAACAAGGCGGGGAAAUGCGACCCCGUACAUAUCCUAGAUAAGAAAUUGAACAGAGCCGGUAGGAGGAUUAUUAAAACAGUGCAUUCCCAGAGGAAGAGAAAUUGCAAAAUUGGCUAAGAAAUCUGCCAUUGAAUUUGCCUCUCAGUAGAUGUGAUUAAUCGAAAUGUGCCAAUUCCUUCCCAUGAGCUCCAUAAUCGAUUGAACCAACGGUUUGUGCUCAUUAUUUUGAACCAACUGAUUAAAAAUCAGUUGAACAACACACAAGCUGUCAACUUCAACCUGUAGCCAUCGAACCCCACUUUGCCAAGCUAUGGUCGGACCUUGAUACAAACCCCAAAGUUCCGCUGAUGUUCAUUGAGAAUCCACCAACCCAUUUUCCGUUGCAGUCCCGAAUAAUCCCACCAGCACCGGCAUCUCCAUUACAUUUACAAGCACCAUCCGUAUUCAAUUUGCACCACGGUCAAACUGGGGGAUGCCAACCAAUUAAUUUUUCCACCUUGUGCUCUUUAACGAACAUUCCUGAAGUGUUAAUCUGUUGUAUCUCUUCAGCUUGUAUCAAGAUAUCCUGAUACAUGAUAUCAUUAGAUGUGGAGAAAUGAUUAAAUUGGAACUAGUUGCGCCAAUACCACAGUCUCCAAAUCACCACCCCAAAGACACAAGGCCACUCCAGACCCCUCUCUAAAUUCCAAGUACUUUUCAAAUUAUGGACAAUUCAUUCUCGAAGGCUUAAGGAGUAAAACUAUUGACGAUAAGCCACUGGGAUGAAUAGAUUCCAUAGUCGUUUAGCAAUGAAGCAGUCACGCAGCACAUGCAUAGUUGUUUCUAUGUCAGCUCCACAUCUAUUACAAUUGUACUCAAUUGGAAUGCGACGCCUCGCAAUCUCUAACUUUGUUUUGAGUCUGUCAUGCAUAACCAGCCACAGAAAAGUUCGAAUAGCUUGAGGGCCGCGCCACUUCCAAACUAACUUCCAAGCUGAAUCCUCAAUACCAUGUUGGCUUGCAGAAAGGUCUUCAUAUGUUGACUUAACAGAGAACUGCCCUUUUCUUGACGCAAACCAAAAAAUUUGAUCAUCACCUUUAUUCUCUGCCGGUGGCUGAACUGCUGCAAUUUUUAGAAUAAUGUGGUUAGGAAGAAGGUUACCAAAAGUGUCCCACUUCCAGUUGCCAUUGUCCUCCGUAAAAUCACAGACAAACUUAGAUAGUAAGUCAUCUGGAAUGGGUGCUGUAGCAAAGCACAACAAAGGUUUAUUUUUCGUAGCCCAACAAUCCCACUAAAACUUAACUUUCCUGCCAUUGCCAAUACACCAACGGAUCCCCUGUAAGGUGUCACACCAGAUGCUUCCAAUCGACCUCCACAAAUGUGAGUCAUACCGUGUGGGCAAGAUCGAAGGAAUAUUCAAAACAUCCACUCCAUAUUUAGUGCAGAGGACUUGAGCCCAAAGGCUAUCAGGAGAAGAAAUCAGCCCCCAUGCAAGUUUCAUUAAUAGGGCUUUAUUCAUCACUUCUAAAUUUUUGAAACCUAGGCCACCACAAGCUUUUGGUUGACAAAUCUUCUCCCAACUGACAAGACUUAGAGUAUCUCCAAAAGUCUUUAUAAAUUUUACUCUUCAAAUACCUAUUUGCUUACCUAUGUGGUAAAUAGAAGGGUAAAAAAAUAUGAUAUUUUCUAAAAGACUCUUCAAAUAGAAAUAAAUUAAUAUUAUUUUAAUCAAAUAAUUAUUUUUUAAAGGAAAAGUCAAUAGCAAUUAAAGCACUUCUCUCUCUUUCUUCAAUGAAAAGUAAUAAAAUACAAAUUGAAGAGGGAGAAAUUAACUCUCUAAAUGUGAAGAGAGCGAAUCAAUUCUUAUUUGAAGAAUUUUAAUUGGAGUGUCUUUUGGAGCUUUAAAUAUUAAUGUGGCUCUUCAAAUAAGUAAUAAAAUCUUAUUUGAAGAGCCUUUUGGUGAUGCUCUUAGCUUACGUUGGGUAGUAGAACCACUCCAGAUAAAACUUUUACAAGCUUGGUCAAUUUUAUUCUUGACUCUUGAGGGUAAGUUUGAAGUUUGCAUGGCAUAUAUAGGAACAACUUGGAUCACAGAAUGGGCCAGGGUUACUCUACCUGCAAGGGAGAGAUGAAGCGCAUUCCAGCCCGACAUCCUCUUGUCCACCUUCUCAAUAAUAUCUUGAUGGGUCUUUUUUGUGACGCGUGAAUGGAGGAGGGGCAUGCCUAGGUACUUGCCAAGGUCUUUAGAUUUAGUGUACCCGAGCAAUUUACCAGUGUUGUUUGCUUUUUUAUGGUUAACAGUUUUGGAAAAGAAAACUUGCGUCUUUGUAUUAUUCACCUUGGCACCAGAGCUAUAACAAAAGGAAUCAAGGACUGAACUAAGAACCUUAGCUUGGAUAGUCGAUGCUUCAGCCAAUAAUAAAAGAUCAUCCGCGAACAAGAGGUGAGUAAGGGGAGUGCCAUUCUGAGAUAGUCGCACAGGCUUCCAAUCUCCAUCAUUAACUGCUUUACGGAUGCCAUGACUAAGCCUGUCAAUGCAUAACACAAAAAUCUAGGGAGAAAUUGGAUCACCCUGCCUUAUACCUCUAGUAGGAGCAAAAUCAUCCGUGACCUCACCGUUCCACAAUACAUUCAUACUCACAGUGGUGGUGCAAGCCAUUAUGAGUCGAAUGAGAUCCAUAGGGAGCCCCACCUCCAACAGAGUUCGUGGAUAAAAUUCCAGCUAAGUCGGUCAUAGGCUUUCUCAAGGUCCACUUUAAUUGCCAUAAAUCCUCGCCGGCCCAUCUUCUUCCUCAUUGAGUGGAUCACUUCCUGAGCAGCAAUAAUUUUCUCAAUUAUGUGACUUCUAGGUACAAAACUCGUCUGGUGAGGACCAAUAAGGUGUGUUACAAUAUUUUGCAAUCUGUUCGCCACCAUUUUGGUCACAGUUUUAUAAACAACCGUGCAAAGGCUUAUGGGUCGAUUCAUUCUUAAACUGAUCAGGCGCUCAUUCUUUGGGAUAAGCACUAACAGGGUUCUGUUAAUCUCUGUCGGGAUGUGCUUGGUGGCAAAAAUAUUCUUGAUGAAUCUACAAAAGGAAUCACCAACAAUGGACCAUUGAGACUGAUAAAAGAUCGCGUGUAGGCCAUCCACUCCAGGUGCUUUCAAGGGUUUCAUCCCGAAGACAGUAUGCUUAAUUUCUAAAUCCUCAAUGGGAGCUUGUAGAAGGUGGAGCAUUGAAGUAUCCAAAGCUGGAAAACAUCCCAUGAGAAGAUAGGGAUGGCACCUAUCUGUUUCUGCAGUGUAUAGAGCAGAGAAAAAAUUAAUAGCAUGAGCCUUAAUAUCAUUAUUGUCAUAUAACCACUGACCUAAGUCAUUUUUAAUAGCAGUAAUCUGAUUCUUUUUCCUUCUGGUUAUGGUUUUUUGAUGGAAAAAAGAUGUAUUGCGAUCACCAUGACUAAUCCAUUCUUUCCGAGAUUUUUCAUACCAAAGUAAUUCUUCACGUGACAGAACUUCCUCCAACUCCUUUCGUAACUUCCAUUCCAACCGAAUAACACUCUUGGACUCAUGCAACUCUAGAGCCUUUUCAAUACCACCAAGCCUUGCUAACCAACAUAUAAAUUUCUAACUGAGCUAAGUCAAACAACUCGGAAACUUAUAUUUAACAUGAAAAUGCUAUUACAUAUGUCUGCAAGUCUUUAAAUUGAAACAACUUAAAAAUAAUACUUGAAUAGAAAACAUAAUACAACAAUUAUGAGUAUUUUAAUAAAAUUAUAUCGUGGUGCCUCUCUCUUUUGAAGUUCGUCGUCCAAAAAUCACCUAUGCACUUCACGUUCUCGCAUAUGCUCAAGUUCUUUAUGCAAUAAUUGAAAUUUAACGGACAAACACUCAAUCUCCAAGGCCAACUUCUUAACCUCAUCCGCUAACAAGUCUAUUUUCUCUUCGCUAGGUUUACGAUCUUCUGGUCAUUGAAAGUUCUUACAUCCUCUACAAAUCCAAAAUUUACGAUUUAGAUUUUUUAUUGUGCGUGACGUUAACAACUCCAUCUGAUCACCGCAUCCAUUACACAUUUACAAUGAGCUUCGAUUCUCACUUGUGUUGGAUGACAUUGUUUGUGAUUAAUAGUCUGUUGGGAAGAAACUGCCCAAAAAAGGGAAACAAUUACAGUUAGGGAAAUUAUCAUUCGUAUACCCUAUAUUUGCUCUGUUAUAAAAAAUACUACAACACUUUGAGGGUGUAUCAAUCGUCCACCCUUAGUUGACAAAAUGUAUCAGCUGACCACCAAACCGUUAGUUGCUGUUUGAAAGUUAACGGAAUUAUAGUGAAUUGACAAUUUUACCCUUGAAAAUUAUCACUUGUAUACCCUUAAAUUCUCUUUUUAUCACUUGUAUACCCUUAAAUUAUCACUUGUAUCAUAUGAAAAGACCAAAUUACCCUUCUGACGUCAUCAUACUUAAACGGCAACUAACGGUUUGGUGGUCAGCUGAUACAUUUUGUCAACUUAGGGUGGACGAUUGAUACACCCUCAAAGUGUUGUAGUAUUUUUGAUAAUGGAGUAAACUAAGGGUAUACAAAUGAUAAUUUCCCUUACAGUUAAUAAUGCCAAAGAAAUUACCCAAUUCAAAUUUUAAUUGCAAUUACAGUUAGUCAGCCUUAAAUCAAACAUAUGAAGAGCAUGAAAAGAAAACCGGAACAGGUGAAGCCAAGGUGUUGCUUUCACUUUCAUUUGGUCACAGAACAGACAUGUGCAUGCUAUCAUGGAUAGGUCAUGAACAAAAUGUCCAAAAUUAAUUUCAUUCCAAGAUCUUUCUUUCAUGUACAAUUUGUGGCGGUUUACAAGAAAAUUUGCUUCUGUUUUAAAGCUUAUAAGCAGUAAGCACCAUAACUAAAUUUGCUUCUGCUUUAAGUUUACAAGAAAACCAACUCUGUGUUGUUGCUUACUGGGAAAAGCCAGAGACAUUAAGCACCAUAACCAUACAUUUAAGCACCAUAACUGUUUUGGAAUAUAAAAGAAAUAAGAGAAGAAAAAAUAACAAUCAAUUGUAUAAACUUUUUGUCAAACCAGAGAGUUCUACUUAGGUGCAACUAAAAUCAAAGUUUCUUGGACAAACUGGCCAAUGAGUUUCCUAGUAAGAUGUUUGUAGUUGUUCUAACUAGUUUAUGAAAAAGCUUUAAAUUGCAAAAGCUUUUACCACUCUUUAUAGUAAAGAGCUUCGAAGGUAUACCAAUGCUUGAGAAAUGAUCCCUCAACUUGCCAGAGCACACAGAGCUAAUCAUCAAAUAACAUAGCAAAUCUCUGGGUUAGUUUUUAGAGAAGUAACAUAUUUGCUAACUUAAUGAUUCAUUGAUGUAAAUGCAUCAUAACCAAUAUGAUCAUAUUUAUAUCUAGCUACCUAGUUCAAUACCACAAGGGUACAACAAUUGGUAAACUAAAUUAAUCUUUUCCCAACUCCAUCAACUAAACCAACUUAGAUAUUGUUGCUUCCUGACAAUUAUAAAUCAAUAAAUGGCACUAGGACUGCACAUUAAAUAAAAGAAACUAACAUUGAACAUCUCAUUUCUUCCUGAGCAAAAUCUCUCAUUUCUUCUAGAGCAAAAUCUCAUUUUCAUCAUCAUUCAUCCUCAACAUUAGCAAAUUCAAAAUCGUAUAACUAUUGUUGAUAUAUGCUAUAAAUUCACAUCAUUAAGCACCCAAAUCAAGUGCGAAAGGGAAAUCAAUUGCGAUUUAACACACUUAAAUAAAACAAGAAUGACAAUAGCUAUCUAAAUUCAGCCGAAAAUUAAAUAAAAUAGGAAUGACAUUUUAUUUCAGCAAAGAAUCUUAACAAUUUAUUUCAACCGAAAAUUAAAUAAAAUGGGAAUGAUGAUAGCUAUGAAAAUUUAGCACUUGCAGAGCAAUGAUAUUAAUUUUCAUCAUAAAUGUCCUAACCUAGAUCAACCAAAUCGUCCCCAUUUUGCCAUAACCUAAAGAAGCAAAAGCGAAGCAUUACCUCAGGUUGUGAUAACUUUGCCACUUUGUGAGUUCAAUUAGCUGUCGCGUGAUGGCUACAAAUGUUGACGGUGACCGUGGCUGUGAGUCGCCCUUUUUUUGAAUUUUUCAGCCGCAGAUUGUGGUGGAUCACGAAUGGUUGGACCUCGGUUGAGGAAGGUGUAAAAAUAAUAGCAAAUUGAGCUAAAUGAUUGUUUAGUUACUGAGAAUCUUAGAGAAAAUAGAUGAACUCUCUGAAUAUUUCUUUUUCAUUAAUUGAAGCUAUUUGAUACAAACUCUGUUUAUAUACAACUUAUUUGUGAGCUGCAACUGAUCAAAAUGCAUUGCAUCAAAUCAUCCAAUCAAAUUGUUGAAUCACUAACUAAAAGCUAAUUAACUAACUAAUAGUCACGUGAACUUUCAACACUACUUAACAAAAUUGGUUGACUCAGCACUGACGUGGCAUUGCUGAAGAAUCUUAACUGCUGGCUUCCUUUCUCGUUUCAACUCAGCACAAUGAGCUUUCUUCACAGCUCCCCUCAAACUCAAGGGACAUAACUGCACAUUGAGUUUGAGUCUUAGAUAAUUCAAUUGAGAAGAGUUCAAUAGCUUAGUUAAUAUGUCAGCUAUUUUCUAUGCACUAGGAAUAUACAGUAUCUUUAAGUCUCCAGCCAAAACCUUGUCUCUGAUAAAGUGUAGAUCGAUUUCUAUGUGUUUUGUUCUUGAGUGAAAUACUGGAUUGUGAGCAAGUUCAGCAGCACUCACAUUGUCACACCAUAUAAUUGGCUUUUCAUCACAACACAUACCAAUUUCAAGGAACAAUGACUUUAGCCAUGUUAUUUCAGAAACAGCUGUAGCAAGAGCCCUGUAUUCACUUUCAGCAGAUGACUUAGUAACCACUGAUUGUUUCUUUGAAGACCAUGAGAUUAAAUUGUUUCUCAAGUAUACACAAUAAGCUCCAACUAAUCUUCUAUCAUCAAGAUCACUUCCUCAAUCAGCAUCUGUAAAUGUUGUAAGCUUCAUGUCACAUUCUCUAACAAACUUCAAACCAUAGUCUUGUGUUUCCUUCAAAUAUCUUAGCACUCGUUUACAUGCCAUAACAUGUUGAAGAGUUGGUGAAGGCAUAUACUAGCUUAGUUUGUGAAUUGAAUAAGCAAUCUCAGGUCUAGUCAAAACCAAAUACUGCAGUCCUCCAACUAUACUUCUGUAAUAAGUAGGAUCUUCAAUAUAGUAACCCAUUUCUCCCUCAACAUUCUUCUGCAAUCUGUAAUCUUUACUACUGCUCAUUGGUGUGUCUAUUCCUUUGCAUUCAAGCAUAUCUACCUUUGCAAGUAAGUCUCAGAUAUACUUUUUUUGUGACAGGUAUAUACUAUCAUGAUCAUAUAACACUUCUAUACCCAGAAAAUAAGAUAGUCUCCCCAGAUCCUUUAAUGCAAAUGCAGAGCUGAACAACUUAAUAAACUUUUCCAACUCAACACAAUCUGAUCCUAUAAUCAAUAUAUCAUCUACAUAUAUCAAAAUUAUAAUGAUUGAGCUCUUGGUUCUUCUCAAGAAUAGAGAUGUGUCGGACUUAGAAUUCUUGAAUCCCAUUGUAUAAGACUGCUUUUCAGUUUGUCAAACCAAGCACGAAGAGCUUGUUUCAGACCAUAAAGUGCUUUGUGCAGUUUACAUACAAAGUCUGGUCUUUGUGGAUCAACAAAUCCUUCUGGCUGCCUCAUAUAAACUUCUUCAGUUAGAUCUCCAUUUAAGAAUGCAUUAUUCACAUCAACUUGUCUUAUCUGCCACUGGUUCAUCACUGUCAAACUUAAGAUCACUCUAACUGUUGCUGAUUUUACCACUAGGAUGAAAGUCUCAAAAUAGUGAGCACCCUCUAUUUGCUGAAAUCCUUUAGCAACCAAUCUUGCCUUAUACUUUUCAACACUUCCAUCAGUAUUGGUUUUUAUUCUGAAAACCCAUUUGUUGCCAGCAAGCUUAUGAUUUUCUGUGCGUGGCACCAAUGUCCAAGUGCCAUUUGAUAUCAAUGCAUCAUAUUCAGCUUUCAUUGCUUGAUACCAUAUUUCAUUGUUGAGAGCCUCCUGAAUAGUUUCUGGUUCUUUGUGCAACAAAACUGCAGUAUAUAGCUUUGGCUUAAAGAUGCCUGCCUUUCCUCUAGUAACCAUCGGAUGUUGGUUUAAAGAUUGUGAGGUUAUAAUAGUUUGAUUUUGUGGAAUUUCAUCUGGAGAUUGAUUAUUUGUUGUGUCAGGUAUGGAAGGUAGUAUUGUAGGUGCAGGUAAAAUUGGUUGUUGAUCUGAGACAUUGUUUGUGUUUGAGGGUUGUUAAUCUGAGACACGUGCUUGUGUUGAAUCUAUUGCCGAAGGCAAAUUAUCACCACUGGUAUAUGCUUGAGAAAGAUAUUCAUUGCUGUUAUUUGAAAGAUCUCAUAUGACAGGUAAGGUAGACAAUUGAAAUACUUGUAUAGGUGUAAUUGAAUCAUAAGAGUUUGACUGAGAUUUGUUCAAAGAAUGAAAACUAGGAUCUGAAGAAAAUGGAUAUGAAGUUUCAUCAAAAUUGACAUGUCUAGCAAUAUACACACGACCAGAGGGAUGAAAACAUUUGUAGCCUUUAUGAAAUGGAUUGUAACCAAGAAAGAUGCACUUGGUUAUAGGAUAAUCAAACUUAUGCUUAUUGUAAUCUCUCAAGUAUGGAUAACAAGCACAUCCAAAGCAUUUCAGCAUGUUGUAAUCAACUUUAUGUCUGUAUAAUUUUUCAUAUGGAAUAGACAUCUUAAGGGCAGAGGUAGGAAGUCUAUUAAUAUGAUACACUGAGGUAUGAAAGCCAUCCCACCAAAAUUGGAAUGGAAGUUUAGCUUGUACUAGAAGUGUCAAGCCUAAUUCUACAAUUUGUUUGUGUUUUCUUUCAACAAGGCCAUUUUGAUGAUGUGUGUAGGGACAAGAGUGUCUGAAAAGAAUACCACAUUCAUUUAGAAAAUUGGUGAAUAGUCUAUAUUCUCCCCCUUAGUCUGAUUGUAGAACUUUGAUGGUAGUUUGAAACUGAUUUUCAACUUGAAGUUUAAGCAAUUUGAACACUUCUAGAGCUUCUGAUUUUAAUUUCAGAGGGUAUAUCCAAGUUUAUAUAGUGUGAUCAUCCACAAAGCUGAUAUAAUAUCUAUAACCUUCUCUAGAAUAUAUUGAUGAAGGGCCCCAUAAAUCAGUGUGAAUGAGUUCUAGUGCUGAUUUAGACUUAAUAUCAGUUAUGGGAAAAUGAAGUCUAUGAAAUUUGCCCAGCUGACAUGCUUCACAGAAAUGUUGUGUUGCUUGAUUAAGCAUAUUUGUAGAUAACAAGGUAGGAUGCACAAGUUUAAGUAAGUGAAUGAAACUUUGAGCAUUGGGAUGACCAAAUCUUCUGUGAAAUAAAGACAUUUUAUUAGAUGAUGAAUCAGUGUAAGAGUUCUUAUUUGACUGAAAAUAAUUUUCAGAACAAGCAGCACUAGUUGCAGAACUGAAAUGACAAAGAGACAACAUAGACAAAGGUUGAUUUAUUGAGCUUUGAGAAAGAAAUGAGGUGUAUGCAGGUUGUAGUGAUGAUUUUGAAGAUGGUUUGAUCAGCAAUUUGUAUAAACCUUUCUCAGCAAUACCCUAUAGCAGAACCUUCCCUUUCAGUGAAUCCUUCACAAAACAUAUAGAUCCAAAGAAUUCAAUAGAUAGGUUAUUAUCAGCAGUAAGUUUAGAAACACUUAUUAAAUUCUUUGUGAUAGAUGGAACAAGCAGUAUAUCUUUCAGUGUAAUGCAUUUACGUGCAGGUUGUGACUUAGAACCUUGAACUGAAAAAGUAGUGCUACCAAUGUGUGUGAUUAACAAACCUUUACCAUUGCCAAUGAUCAGCUUGUCAUUACCAUUGAAUUCAUCUAUGACAUGCAUAUUUUCCAUGUUGUUUGUUAAAUGAUGUGUAGCUCCACUGUCAAUGUACCAUCCUUCAUUUGCUGGUCCUUCAAAAUUAGCAACAUAAGCAGCUCCAGCUCCAGCUCCAGCUCCAGGCAAGUUCAUUGAGUCAAACAUAUAUGAGGUAAACGAUGGAUUGUACAUUUGAGGAAUUCCUGAAUGAGCAGCUGACCAUGAGUUUUCAGUUGGUGCAUCACAAUAUGCCAUAUAAGCUAAUCUCUGAUUUCUUCCCCUCUUCAUGUAUUGUGGCACAUAAUUCUCUUCAAAUCUAUGCCAACAUUCUGUUGCUGUAUGCCCAGAUUUAAAACAGAUUUGGCAUACAACAGUUUGCUCAUCAUUACCAUCAGAGUUUGGCAUACCAGAGUUACCACUAUAUUGUCCUCUCAUAAAUUGCAUCUGUUUGUUAUUACCAAUCAUUUGACCUCUACUAUGACUGUUACCAAAAUUUCCAGUUCCAAAAGGAAAACCUCUUGGAUGAGAGUUAAUCAACAGUCCCCUUCCAGUCUGAAAAUUAUUUCUUCCAACUUGAUUUCCACUAUAAAAACCUCCAUUAUAUCCACCUCUCUGAGCAUUGCCUCUUGCUUGUGCAUAAAAAGCAUUCAUCAUACAAUAUCCACUGUUACUAGGAGCAAAAUUGGCAAAAUUUGUAUUGAACAUCUGUUUUUCAUUCAUGCUCUGUUCAAGUCUUAUUUCAUGAGUAAGUAGCAGUGCAUAUGCAUCAUCAUAAUCAAGUUUGCUUGCAGUAAUGAAUGUAGCUAAAUCAAGAUAUCCUUGUCCAAGGCCAUUUAGAAUUUGUUGCAACAAAUUCUUAUCUGAAACUGGACUACCAGCACAUGCUAGUUUAUCUGCUAUUUGUUUCAUUUUCAAACAAUAAUCUUCUAUAUUCUGUGAAUCUUUUCUUAAAACACUCAUUUCAUACCUAAGUUGAAGUACUCUUGCUUCAGAUUUUGCACCAAAUUUGUUCUCCAAUGUUUUCCAUACAUCAUAUGAAGUAUUGCAAGAAUGAACAAGACUGAGAAUACCUUCAGUAACUGAGCUUAAUAACCAGCUUAGUAAUGUCUGAUCUUGUGAUCUCUAAACUGUAUAUUCUGGAUUUUCAUUCUGUUCAGUAGAUCUACAUGCUGCUCUAGCAUAUCCUCCAGUUGUGAUAAACUGAUUAGGAGCUACCUUCUCUCCAUUAAUGUAACCUUCAAGUCUGUUUCCUCUUAUAGAAGCUAGAACUUGAUUUCACCAGAGCAUGUAGUUAGAUCGAUCUAAUUUGAUUGGUGAUAUGAAGGAGAAUGUGGUUUGUAUUGAUUGAUUUGUAGUGAUUGUGUUUGAAUUUCCAUUUGGAUUGCUUGAGCUUGCCAUAUUGUGGCUCUGAUACCGUGAAAAAAUAAUAGUAAAUUGAGCUAAAUGAUUGUUUGGUUACUGAGAAUCUUAGAGAAAAUAGAUGAACCCUCUGAAUAUUUCUUUUUCAUUAAUUGAAGCUAUUUGAUACAGACUUUGUUUAUAUACAACUUAUUUGCGAGCUGCAACUGAUCAAAAUGCAUUGCAUCAAAUCAUCCAAUCAAAUUGUUGAAUCACUAACUAAAAGCUAAUUAACUAACUAAUAGUCACAUGAGCUUUCAACACUGCUUAACAGAAUUAGCUGACUCGGCACUGACGUGGCAUUGCUGAAGAAUCUUAAUUGUUGGCUUCCUUUCUCGUUUCAACUCAGCACAGUGAGCUUUCUUCAUAGAAGGAAAGGGUAUAUUGUUUUUGGCAAACAAAACGCUGCUUGAUCUAGAUAGUAACAAAGAGGUCCAAUACAAUGGGCCUUUGGAAUAAAUAAAAAGAUAAUAAUAUUUUAGUCUUUAAACUUUAUUUUUAUCACUAUACAUUGUUCUUGAUGUAUUUUUAAUAUUUGGUCUUAUACAAUAAACUAAAGUCACAAAUUAAAGGGCAAUCAAUACCGUUUGAUGGAUAAAAAGCAAUUUAACUGGGUCCAACAUUAUGGACCUUCGAAUUAAAUAAAGGAAUAAGGAUACUUAAAUCCCUCUUAAAACUUACUAUUAUCGCUAUAGUUCUUUUAAUACACAAUCUUAAAAUAACAAAGUCUCAAAAUUCGAUUAAAAAAAAACAUUUUAGAUGGGGUCCAAUACAAAGGACCUUUGGAUUAAAUGAAAAAUAAAUAACAUUUUAGUUCAUCUUAAUUUUUAUUUGGGUGGGGCUACUUACAUUCUAAAAAUAGUUUGAAUACUCAUAAUUUUAUAAAAUUCAUACAACAAAUAUACCAACCAUUUCAUUUAUUAUUAAGGAUAUUUUAAUAUAAAUAAAUUAAAAAAAACACUCUACACACAUGUAUAGUGCACACCUGCACCCAUGAAAUAUAAUAGUAUAUAGUGUAAUUACAAUAUUUUAAACUCUAUACAAAGUCCGCACACUAAGUGAUAUGGCAUUAAUUGUAAUAUGUACAGUAUUAAUUGAUUUUAUUAUUAGUUCUUAACAUGAUAAUUUUACAACUCAAUUGAAAUGCAAACUAUGUGCUCCAAUCCAAAAUGACUCUCACACUAGGAUUUAUUUAUUUUUAACUAAUACAUAACUAGUACGACUAAUUAAAAUUGCAAGUAUAAAAAAGACCGAAAACAAACUAUAACCCUAAAAUUCUCAUACCAGUAGGGCUGGCAGCCAAGUUUCCUGAAGAGAGGGAGAGAGAAAAAGCAAGGACGUGCAAGCAAUGGGAGUUGGUAGCCACUGGAUCUGUCAGUUCCAUGCCCCCCCCAACCCGACCACUACAAGCUGUCACCUGUAGUUAUCAUUACCGCAACCUACCCCAACACCCCCCACCCGAGCACUACAAGCUGUCAUCCGUAGUUAUCAUCACCGUCAUCAUAGUUAAUGUCGGAGCAAUAUCUGUCGCAUGUUGUAGUCGAUAUAACUUAGCGCUGCUUCAUUUUGCAAUUUUUUACUUCCUUUCGGUUCAUGUUAACGGUAAUGUUAGGAAACUUAGCACUACAAGCUGUCAUCCGCAGUUAACGGUAAUGUCAGGAAACUUAAUAUUUGAGUUUUAAUUUAAAUUUUAUUCGAUGUAGCAUUCAUUUAUUAAAUAGUAUAAUAAUAAUUUUAUAAGUUAUAAAAUUUAAUUUUUAAUAAAUUUAACACAUAGUAAUUGAAACUCAUAUUGUACUCAAAUAUUAAGAUCCCUAGUAUUAUUGAUAAAAUAAUAAUUUUUUUUUUAUCUCUAGUGAAAACUACGUUGAAGAACUAGGCCAAACGAAGAGAAAUAAUACCUGUAUAUUGUUAGAUUAGGAUACAUUGUUGGCAUAUAUCCCAAGUGAUGCAUUGUCAAUAAUUUGCUUGACAUGUGUUAAGUGUGUUGGACACUUGGUUAUUAACUUUACACUAAAAUUUCAGAAAAAAGAGGUUUAAUUGACAUUUAGUCUUUUUUUUUAGGUAUGGAAAAAUGAGCAAAACCCCUAUUAUUAAAAAUCUAACAUUAACUACCUUGGAGGACAUGUUAAAAAUUUAAGCAAUUAGAUCUUCAUGUUAGCUUCUUAAUGUUGCUAUAAGCUCAAAUUUUUAUUCUCAAGAUACUAACAAUUUCACAUAUGAGUGUCUUUAAUCUCAGAAAAGGGACAAGUAAAAUAUUGGAUUCAGAAAAGAGGAUUUAGCCACACACAAAAUUAAGAUAGAAGUGGCAAUUUUUAGAUUACCUUGAUUCUAAUUCAACCAAUAAAACAAAUGUGGAAAGUGUAUUAAAAUUCCAAGAAGAGCAAAAGUUUUGAUUUGCUUUCAUGACAAUGAAUGCGAGUGAAGAUGAUAUAUUUUUUAACGGAAACAAUAUUUUCAUUGAUAGCAAAAUAAUAUUUCGUAUCUGUCCCAUUAAACACUUGUUCGUCAUGUGGUAAUUUAUAGUUUACCUUGACUCUUAAGUCACCUAAUAAAAUAAAAGGAAUGUUGAAAACAUAUUAAACUUCCAAGAAAAACAAAAGUUUUGAUUUGUUUGCAUGAAAAUGAAUGAGAGUGAAGAUGUAAACAACAUUUUCAUUGAUAGCAAAAUAAUAUUUCGUAUCUGCACCAUUAAACACUUGUUCGUAUUGGCAUCAAUUUGCAUGCUUUUGUGGACGACUAUUGCGUACAUGAACUUCUCUGUGGACCUACAACUGCGGAAUUGUAACACCCCAAAUCUAACACGUGCGGAGCAUGUGAAGAAGAAAGUUACUCACAAAUCAUAAUCUUUACUCAUAAGUUUCAAACUGAAAUACCUCUAAUUCUUAUUCAAAUAAAUCCACAAAUUCAAACGUCUAAUACUAAAUAAUCUCUCCCGAGGACAUAAAAAUAAUAACAAAAGUCUCAAACUCCAAAUUACACGUUCAUAAUAGAAAUAACUAAAUAGAAACACGAGUAUAUUCCUCCUCUUAUUCAAAUGGCAAAUGGAAACGGAAAAUUACUAACUCCAAAGCUAAGCGCACCUCUCAAAAGAAACUUAAUCUGCAAAAAGUAAUAACGAGGGGUGAGCCGUCAACUCGGUGAGUAAAACCAUUCCAACACACUAGGCCUAUCGAUACCAAAAAUAUUGCAAGCCUUCUUUUAUUUAAAACAUAUAUUGUAAUCCAUAAAUUUCAUAAACCGAUAUAUCACGAUAAAAUAACAUAAAUUCAUUGUAUCUCAGAAGAUCAAAAGCAUAGUUACUUACGAAAGCAAAUCAUAUAUCACAUUCGCAGAAAACAAAAGGUUAGCUCAUGUCACAUAGUGUCACCUAUAGUCCCGGUGACCCGGCCAGAAACAGAAUCAGAAUAUCGUGUGCACACUCAGAAUAGAAACCCAGUACUGGUCCAGACAGAUAUAUCCUAUAUUACGAUCAAAAUCAAAAUCAAAAUCAGAAUAACUAUGGACAAUGAGCCAAAACAUUAGGAAUCUUAUACAAUCAUCAAUAAUUGAAAUCAUACAUGGGUACAAAACAUUUGUAUCAGAUUUAUAAAAGUUCAUAACAAUAAUUUAGGCUUGCAUAACAUUUUAAAGAUAAAAUCAUAAAAGGUUGUCAUGUCAUAAAAUAAUUUACAUAUUAAAAAGCAUUUAUAAAAUACUUUGUUAAAAAGAAUUUAGGUUUGAAAACAUUUACAUAAAACUAAUUUUGUUAUCAAAAUCAAUUAAUCCUUUAAGUAGUAUAAAAACAUUUAUACUUAUAAUAAUAAUAUCAAAAUACUUAUACAUAUCCAGUAUACUAGGAAUAAAGUUACUUACCUCGACAAAAGAAUUUGAACUACACACCUCAAAGCCUCUAAGAGCCUUAAACACCUCCAAUACCUUAAACAAAUACAAAAUAUGACUAUUAAUAACUUAUUCUAAGAAUCUGACUUUCUAAUUCAUACCCGUACAGGUCUGAUUCUCAGAAUUUUAACUCUUGAUCUAUAACUCAUAACGACAUACUGUUCUAUGGAUCUGUUCUGGACAUCCAUGAGUACCCCAUAUAAAAUUUGCAAGAGGAUCCGAUAUCAAACACAUUUUCAAAACUAUUUAUUUCUCAACAAUUUCGAAACUGUUUUCACAUAACCUAAACCAAAUAGAACGGGUUCUGUGCUUUUAAUAAAAUAAAAUACUAAUCAGAAAAUUAUGAAAUUAAAACUGGGAAUGCUAGACACAUAGAUUAACCUACAUAUAAACUUUCAUAAUUUUCCGAGUUCAUUUGGUGGUACAAAUAAUCUUGUGAAUUCGAUCGCAAUGCUGGAAUCGCAAUUUUCCAGUGCAGUGGUUUCUAUUUCGAAAAUACAUAUAAAAUUGAAAUCGAAGUCGAAUUUAAUGAAAUAAAAUUUACUCAAGAAGCCCUACAUGUCUAGUUUCCAGAAAUAUAAAUUUGAUAAGAAAAAUCGUUCAGAAAAUAUAGGUUUAAAUUCGAGAUACUCAUGCUGUCCAGAAUUAUCCUGUGCUUAAUACAUCAAGGAUUGAUUAACUAAACUCAUAAUAAAUCAAAACCCUAAACAAAGCCUAAAUACAUUCUAAAUCAUGCAUUAUGAUCUAUAACCAUCUAGAAUCGUGCCAAUAUAAACCCUAGAUAGAGUGAUUAGAAAUCUGUUGAGAAUAGGGAGAAUAACUUACCCGUCGCUUUGAUUCUCUCCUAAACAAAGGUUUGAAUCCUAAGAUUUGGGUAGGAGCAUAAAGAACAGUAGAGAAGAAGAAUAAACGUCGUGGACUUAGGGUUAUGGAAGGGAAAAAGUAUGAAUUUAUAGGGAGUCUUAAGAAACCAUAUUUAAUUAGGAAAAAUAACCCUUUUCCAAAAUUAUCUCAUAAAUAACCUCUAUUUAUAAUUUAAUAUCCCUUUUCUAAUAAGGGUUAUAGGCCAUGCAUGAUUCCUAAUGUAAUGAAAGGGAUGUCAAUAGUUUAACGGCAGGAAUGUUUUGAGAUAUUUUAAAAAAUAUAAGAACUAAACAGACUUUAACAUCAAAACAUAUGGACUAAAUGAAUUUUUAUCUAAAUUUAAGCACAUAGAUCUUCUUAUGAGCUUCAUAACGUUGCUAUAAGUUCAAAUUUUUAUUCUCAAGAUAUUAAAAUUUUCACAUAUGAGUGUCUCUAAUCUAAAAAAAAUGGACCAGUAAAAUAGUGGAAUUUGGAAAACAUGAUUUAGCCACACACAAAAUUAAGAUAGAAUGGCAAUUUCUAGAUUACCUUGACUCUAAGUCAACCAAUAAAAAAAAAGUGGAAAGUGUAUUAGAAUUCCAUGAGGAACAAAAGUUUUGAUUUGCUUUCAUGAAAAUGAAUGCGAGUGAAGAUGGUAUAUUUUGUAAUGUAAAAAAAUUUCAUUGAUAGCAAAAUAAUAUUUCGUAUCUGCCCCAUUAAACACUUGUUCGUGUUGUAUUGGCAUAAAUUAAGAUAGCAAUGGCAAUUUCUAAAUUGCCUUGACUAAGGGCUCGUUUGGGAUUUACUUUUGGGAGGUUUAAAAGUGAUUUUAAAUAUUUAAAAGCUAAUUUUAGUGUUUGGCAAAAAAAAAAAAAAAUCAAAAUUACCUUUGUCAAAAUCAGCCUCUCCUACCAUUGAUUUUGAAAAGUAGGGACUGAGUAGCUUUUAGAUUCUGAUUUUGAGAAUCAAUAUUAUCCUUUAAUACAAUUCCAUAAAUGUCCUUAAAAUUAUUACCUAAACCCAUAAUUAUUCUUAUUCAAAUUGGAAACAAAAUCAAUAUUUAAUAAAUUUUUAUUAUAAUUCAUCAAUAUAUAUUUAUUAAUAUUAAUUUGUUGGUUGAAUUAUUAUUAAAUUUGUUUCACUAUAUUAUAAAAUUUAAUUAUCGAUUGUUUUAAGAUAAAAAAAAAGUAAAAUCAAUAUAUUAUUAAUUUUAUUUUAAGUAAAAAUUAUUAUAAUACACCAUUAAAAAUAUUAUAUGUACAUGUUUUUAUAUGUAUAAGUAAAUUUAAUCUUACAUUAUGUACAUUUUAGUCAUUUGUUUUCUUUUACUAGUUUAACAGUAAAAUUUACCAAACGUGCAUAACUGCUUUUAAAACUCACAGUACUUCUGAAACAAAAUUUACCAAACACUUAAUUGAUUCUCUUCACAGUUGAUUAUUUUUAUAGCACAACUAAUAGUAAUUAUUUUAGAAGUUACAACAUUCCGCCCUAAGUCACCUAAUAAAACAAAUAUGGAAAUUGUAUUAAACUUCCAAGAAAAAUAAAAGUUUUGAUUUGCUUGCGUGAAAAUGAGUGCGACUGAAGAUUUAAACAACAUUUUCAUUGAUAGCAAAAUAAUAUUUCGUAUUUGUCCCAUUAAACACUUGUUCAUAUUGGCAUCAAUUUGCAUGCUUUUGGGGACGUACAUGUGCUUUUUUGUGGACCUACAACUGUAAAAUGAUAAAUAUCAAAAUAAUUGAAGGGAGCUUAUGACUUAAUUCUUGAUCUAGACUAGUCUCAAUCGAUUUAUCUUAAUAUGACAAUAGAAAUUUGGUUCUACUAUAAUAAUUGAUUGUUAGAGUGUAAUUUAUGCACUAGUUUUGCAUUGUUUACUUCCUUUAAUAUCGAUGUUUUGCACUUAUUAAUAGUGAUUUACUUGUGUUUUAUUUUUGGAUGUGCAAUUCUAUUGAUUGGUGCUAAAACUGAGCUACAAGAUGAUGUUUGAGGAUGAUUGUUUUCUGGGAGAAAUUAUGAGAUUCAGAAGAACUUUGUUGAUAAGGCGUGGGCGCGUGCUGUCAACUAAGGACCUGCAGUUUUUAUUUUAACGUGUUUUAUUUUUUUUGGUUAUUUUUGUAAUUUUAAAUUUAAUAUUUAGAUAAUAUUUUAGAUAUUAGUAUUUUACUUUUGGAAAAACUCUAUAAGAGAAAAAGGACGUGAAAAACAAGAAAGAGGAGAUUUGUUUUUUAAGAGAGAAGAAAAAGAAACCCUAGAUCUAAAUUUUUCUCUUCUCUCUAUGAAGAACUAAACCUAUUAUUCUGGUUGAAGGCUAAUAAAGCUUUGAUUCAUCAUUACUGUGAAAUCUUUCUUAUGCUUUAAUUGUUUAAUUGCUUUUUGGGUAUUUGUUUAUUCUCUAAAUUAUUGUCAUGAUUAUAUUUGUUAAUUAGAUAAUUGGCUACUAUUUAAUUAUCAACUUAAUCUAUUGUCAAUUAAAAGAUUCAUCGUAUGAAGAUUUUAAUGUUUGUGACAAAUAGCAUAGCAGUGUGUUGUGUUAUGAGAAUAAACAAUCUAAUUUAAAUGAACCAUCGUAUGUGUUUGUUAAUUAGGAUUUGGGUCUAUCUGGUUUUUCAGGCUGUCAAUUGAUUAAACCCUAUGAUCGUAUCUAGGGUUGUCUAUUGAUUAGGGAAAUAACCAAUGGUCGUACCUUGGUUAUCGACUAGUUAAGGAGAGAUUGACUAUUAGAGGAUUUCAGUAGCUAUAACCGGUCUAUUCAUAAGUAGUAAUGAUUUAUAUUUGAAUCAAUGAUCAGUAGUCGAAUCAAGCUGAGUUAAUUCCUUCAACCAGAGCUUUUCCCAAUUUGAAUUACAAUUUUAAUUUGCAUUCUUGUUAUUUUAAUUUGAUUUUUAUUAUUGUCAACAAUCCCCCAUUUUGCAUUUUACAUUUUAAAAUGAUUUAAAUAAUUACCGAUCUCUGUGGACACGACCCUGCUCAAUCACUAUACGCAAUUUAUUUAGAGUAUGUAUUUAUUUUUGCUGGCUUCGACAACCACCAUUGAUCUAGGUUAAUCUUAAUAGACUCUUAAUUGUGAUUAUAAGUAGAUCGAUAGUUGCAAACACUUAUAAGUAUUAAAAUAAAAGGGGAAAUGAAGAUUAAUUUUUUGUUAUUUGGAGAACCUAUGCAAAACUCUCAUAUGUUUUAAAAUAGAUCCAAACCUCUCUUGCUAUUAUGACGGUGUUAAAUUUAUAUAUAAUUUUACUAUUCUACCUCUAUUAAAUUUAUAUAUAAUUUUACUAUUCUACCUCUAGUCUUAAUGUUGGUCAUAAAAUCAUUAAAUAUUUUGAGAAUAUAAAUUAAGUGAAAUCACUUAUAUUUAUUUAUCCUUCAUGAUUAAAUUAAUUUAAUAUAAAUUGUAAUUUAUUUUGGGUUCUUAAAGUUAAAUUUAUAUAUAAUUUUCCUAUUCUAUGUCUAGUCUUGAUGUUAGUCAUAAAAUAUAAAGAUUUUGAGAAUAUAAAUUAAGUAAAAUGACUUAUAUUUAUCAUUUUGGUAUUAUGAUUUUUGACCCAACAAUUUGUUAUAUACAAAUAGAAUUUUUAUUCCGAGGACGUUUGUUCUUAAAAUCAUAUUAUAUUACCUCAAUUCAUGCGGCAACACUUAAUAACAAGUCAUUGCCCUCGCUCUUUCCUCUCUACUUUUAAUUUGAUUGCUUUCAUCCAAAAUGUUGUGAUAAGUUGGCAAUGUUAAAUGCUAAAAGUUAUUACUGGUAAUUGAUUAGCAUAUACAACAGCAUCAUUGGCCAAAUUUUGAAAAUAAAACAUAGUGAUAUCGGCGAUAUUAUUUAUAGGCCAUCGUUAUCAAAAAGACAAUGAAGGCUUAUUCAAUCAAACAUUUAAACUUAGCUUAAGGGAAAUUUUAAGUUUUUCAUUACACAGCCUUUACCACUAUAGGACUCCUCACUCGGUGUUGUUUCUCAUCUGACCAUAUCAACUCUCCAAAUGCAUAAUCCUUAGUAACACUUGCAUUCUUAGCUUUAAUGAUGACCUUGAAACUUUUCUCCUCUCCAACAUUUAUAAAUUUCAAGCUCUUUGGUGCAAUAGUCACUGAGACUCCUUCCGGGGUUUUUACACGAGCUUGGUAAGUUCCCGGAGAGCCAACAUUCUUGACUCUUCGCGUCACUGUGAUUGAGCCGGAGAGUUUAGGGACUGUGAUUGAAGGGUAGUUAAAGUUGACCAGACUAACAGCAUUCUUGGGGCAUGUGUAAGUGCAGUUUGUUGAGAACAAUGAAAUUAGAUUUUUGUUGUACCCCAGUGCACAAAGAAAGUUGAAGUAAUCGUUAACCGUUAAGUCAUAAACCAAUCCAGGAUCCAUUGCAGGGAUUGGUUGCACGUGGCCUGCUCCAUAACUAAAGGGUUUUGCUUCAGUAAAUGAAGCAUCCAAAAUUUGUUGCUUGUUGUUAUCCUGUGUUGUUGCUGUGAAAUACAAGGACAAACAAAAUAUCAAAACCGAAAACAAUAAACGUUUCAAGGACUAGUUUUGAUGUACCUGUGGUCAUGAUGGCUGAUUGAAUUGCUGCAGGACUCCAAUCAGGAUGGAGGGUUUUGAGCAGGCCGGCAAUACCAGAAAUAUGAGGACAUGACAUUGAAGUUCCUGAGAUAGAGUUGAAUGGAAUCCGGCGCUUGUCCUCAUUUAGUUUUGUUGGGCUUUCUGCUUCAGUAUAGGCAGCGAUUAUAUUCUCUCCUGGCGCGGUGAUAUCUGGCUGAAAAUGAAAGUAAAACGGCUAAUUAUUCAAUUGUAGCAGCAUAAAAGAUAAAAGAUAUUAUAUUGAGUUGCGCCAUUUUAUAUAUAGUACCUUGAGAAUCUCUGGGGUAAUGUGGUUUGGCCCUUUCGAUGAAAAAGCAGCCAUAAAUGGAGCUGGCUUUGCUCCAAAUUCAGUGGUCGGACGUGUAAUGAAACCAACAGGAUGCCUGUUAAAAGUGAGAACGAGUUACAAUACUAAUUAAUUUCGUGGCAGCUGAUGAAAUGUAAGGUAUGCUUGUAAUCUUACUUGGUUGAAUUGACGUAACCAAGUAAAGAAUCACCAUCAUUGAAGCUGAUAGCUGAAGCAGGAAGGACAUGAGGAUCAGCCGUACGGUCAUAGCCAAAAUCCUGUAUAUUGAUAAGAACAACGCCAACAGCACCAGCUAAGGCUGCCAGUUGUCCCCCGGCUACGCGAAAUUUAUUACUCCAAACCAAGAUCUUUCCUUUCACCUUAUUAGGAUCUAGUAUUGCUUUCUCCCGCGCCAAGCUUCAAUAUGAACAAAUUUCGUUGUGAAUCCAAGGCUUCUUACACUGGAAAUUAGAAUUGUAAUAUGAAUAAAAAAAGAAAAUUGUAUUCUUACGCAUUCAUAGAUGCAUUAGCUAGAAAAGCAUCUUCAGCAAGGAUUAAAGGGAAGAGCUUGUCACUUGGAAGGCCUUUCUCUGAUAAACUUUGUCCCUUCAAAAUCAAAUGCAUGUUGUUGAUAAAUAAGUGCAUAUGCUCAAAGGAUUUCAGGCGCGAAAAACAUUAAAAGAAAGAGAAAGAGAACAAAAAUAUAUAUUGACCUUAAAACGUUUGUUAUUGCCAAGGACGACAUAAUUAGGGAAAUCUCGAUCCAUUGUGCUAGCCCCAACUACGAUUUGCCACGGCGCUACAUUUUCUAAAGUACUAUCUGCAGGACCUUUAUUACCAGCAGAGCAAACAACCACAAUGCCAUGUUGAACAGCAUGAAAAGAGCCAAUUGCAACGCCAUCUCCGAAAAAUGUUGGGCGCUUAACGCCUAAUGAAACGGACAACACAUCUACGCCAUCAUGAAUGGCCAUAUCAAAGGCUGCAAUUAUAUCGCAGUCAUAACAUCCGCCUAAUCGUUCCCAGCAAACUUUGUAAGCCGCCACUCUUGCUUUUGGUGAUCCUCCUUUUGCUGUCCCUUUGCCAAAGCCAAAUACACUUGCCCCAGCCACAAAAUUGCCACCGGCAGUUGAUAAUGUGUGUGUUCCAUGUCCAUCUACGUCGCGCGGGGAAUAAAAGGAAGAGUUGAGUGGUCCUUUAUGAACUGCAUAGUCUUGGUUGAAGUAUCUUGCUCCAAUUAGCUUCCUUCAGUGGAAACACCAACAUUUUGCUCAGACUAUAUUUCCCAAAAAAACAAUUCUCACUUCAAUCUACUACCGCAUCGAAGAUGUAAGAUUCAUUGAAGGUGCAAAAAGUUAUAGAAGAAAAGCAAUAGAGCGAGCAUAAUCAAAAGCUUAGGGAUUUGAGGAACCUGUUGCAAUGAAACCGAGAAUCUUUGUCAUUUUGGCAAAUUCCCUUCCACUUAGAUGGAAUCGGUCCAAAUCCUUCGUCGCUAAAGCUUUUAGACUCUGGCCAGACACCUAGUAUAUAACGAACAAUCCCAUUGAAAUAUUGUGAUACUUGUUAUUAUGAUAUUUUCAAAGCAGAGAAAAUCAGUUUCAAGUAAUUUCCUUGUCAUAAUAUAAGGAUAAAGACCUCACCAGUGUCGAUGUUUCCAAUAAUGACAUCUUCACCAUAUCUUGCCUUUUCCCAAAUCGAGUUUGGUGGAAUCCUACCAUUCUGCUCGAGUCCAAGAAAUUCCCAUGAAUGAGUUGUGUGUAAUUUGUUCUCCUUGCUAAGGAAAACUGAAACUACUUUUGGAUGUUCUACAUUACACAAAGAACCCAGCCCAGUUACUCAUGAAGAAAGAUCAGAAAAAAGCAAAGAACAUAUACAGAGGAGCCCAGUUUCAGUUUCUUACUUGCUAUCUCGGCUGCUACAGCAUCAUCUAAUUUUGCAGCAAAGCCAUUGAUGUGUCUUGUGUACGAGUAAAAGAUUGCAUCUUCAGGAUUUUCAUUACUAUUUAACAAUUAAAAAAAAAUGUUAUCAGACUGGAUAUAUAACAAAAGUCCGGUCUAACGUAAAUUUCUUGUCAAUCCCAUGGUUAUUGCAAGUUCUAAGCCUUGACCUUCCCAAGAAUGAUCCAAGAAACUCAUGAUGAUAUUGAGUCACACGAUUUAGAUCAACAGAUGAUACUUCUGGUCCAUGCGAGUGAGCUCCCAAGUAAACUACAUAAGACUGCAUUCAUUUCAAAUGAAAAAAACUUUAGCAUUCACAAUAUAAUUAUUAAAUCAUUCCUAGAAAUAACAGCAAUAAAGAUAAAUGCUUAAAUAAUAAUGGAGGAAGAAAGAAAAUUAAUUAAAAUUCUAAUUACUUGUUUGGCUGCGAGGGUGGGUCCCUGGCACUGAGAAAAUAGAAGACAACAUAAGAGGAAAAGGGUAGAAGCCGAAAGCCUCAUUGCUCACUAUUUCUUUCAGUGAUGUGUAUGUGCCUAAUUCACCUUUGUAGAAAAACAGAGAUGUGCUGUUUGGCUCAAAGGAAAAUUUCAGAGAAAAUGAAACAAUGAAUUUCCAGAAGAUUUAUUCCAUAUCAUCGUUUACAAAUCAAUGUAUAUAUAUACAACUACUCACACGUGACAAUAACUUGUAACUAACAAGCUUUUUCUAACUAACGAGUCAGCUACAAUUUGUUACAUAACGAUUUUAUGAGCCGGAAAAUGACAUUUAACAAAUCAUGCUGAGCUGCUAUUCUUCACUAACAACCUUCUGCUGACGUCGCUUUAUUAAGCUGCUUGAAUAAUGAGCUACUUUAACAGCCCCCCUCAAACUCAAGGGACAAGGAAUGACAUUGAGUUUGGCUCUUAGAUAGUUAACCGAAUGAAUGAGAGUGGUUUGGUCAUAAUGUCAACUACCUGCUCCUCACUUGGUAUGUAUUGAAUAUUUAAUUCUCUAGCAAGAACUUUUUGCUAACAUAAUGCAUAUAAUAUGAUUUUAAGAACAAACGUUUUGGGUAUAAAAAUUCUAUUUGUAUAUAACAAAUUGUUGGGUCAAAAAUCAUAAUACAAAAAUGAUAAAUAUAAGUCAUUUUACUUAAUUUAUAUUCUCAAAAUCUUUAUAUUUUAUGACUAACAUCAAGACUAGACGUAGAAUAAGAAAAUUAUAUAUAAAUUUAACUUUAAGAACCCAAAAUAAAUUACAAUUUAUAUUAAAUUAAUUUAAUCAUGAAGGAUAAAUAAAUAUAAGUGAUUUCACUUAAUUUAUAUUCUCAAAAUAUUUAAAUUUUAUGACCAACAUUAAGACUAGAGGUAGAAUAGUAAAAUUAUAUAUAAAUUUAACACCGUCAUAAUAGCAUGAGAGGUUUGGAUCUAUUUUAAAACAUAUGAGAGUUUUGCAUAGGUUCUCCAAAUAACAAAAAAGUAAUCUUCAUUUCCCCUUUUAUUUUAAUACUUAUAUGUGUUUGCAACUAUCGAUCUACUUAUAAUCACAAUUAAGAGUCUAUUAAGAUUAACCUAGAUCAAUUAUUAUAGUAGAACCAAAUUUCUAUUGCCACAUUAAGAUAAAUCGAUUGAGACUAGUCUAGAUCAAGAAUUAAGUCAUAAGCUCCCUUCAAUUAUUUUGAUAUUUAUCAUUUUACAGUUGUAGGUCCACAAAAAAAUACAUGUACGCUACAGUCGUCCCCAAAAGCAUGCAAAUUGAUGCCAAUACGAACAAAUGUUUAAUGGGACAGAUACGAAAUAUUAUUUUGCUAUCAAUGAAAAUGUUGUUUAAAUCUUCAGUCGCACUCAUUUUCACACAAGCAAAUCAAACUUUUGUUUUUCUUGGAAGUUUAAUACAAUUUCCAUAUUUGUUUUCUUAGGUGACUUAGGGCGGAAUGUUGUAACUUCUAAAAUAAUUACUAUUAGUUGUGCUGUAAAAAUAAUCAACUGUGAAGAGAAUCACUUAAGUAUUUGGUAUAUUUUGAUAUUUAUCAUUUUACAGUUGUAGGUCCACAAAAAAAUACAUGUACGCUACAGUCGUCCCCAAAAGCAUGCAAAUUGAUGCCAAUACGAACAAGUGUUUAAUGGGACAGAUACAAAAUAUUAUUUUGUUAUCAAUGAAAAUGUUGUUUAAAUCUUCAGUCGCACUCAUUUUCACACAAGCAAAUCAAACUUUUGUUUUUCUUGGAAGUUUAAUACAAUUUCCAUAUUUGUUUUCUUAGGUGACUUAGGGCGGAAUGUUGUAACUUCUAAAAUAAUUACUAUUAGUUGUGCUGUAAAAAUAAUCAACUGUGAAGAGAAUCACUUAAGUAUUUGGUAUAUUUUGUUUUCAGAAGUACUGUGAGUUUUAAAAGCAGUUAUAAACGUUUGGUAAAUUUUAUUGUUAAACUAGUGAAAGAAAACAAAUGACUAAAAUGCACAUAAUGUAGAAUUAAAUUUACUUGUACAUAUAAAAACAUGUACAUAUAAUAUUUUUAAUGGUGUAUUAUAAUAAUUUUUACUAAAACUAAAAUUAGUAAUAUAUUGAUUUUACUUUUUUCCGCAGUUGUAGGUCCACAGAGAAGUUCAUGUACGCAAUAGUCGUCCACAAAAGCAUGCAAAUUGAUGCCAAUACGAACAAGUGUUUAAUGGGGCAGAUACGAAAAAUUAUUUUGCUAUCAAUGAAAAUGUUGUUUACAUCUUCACUCUCAUUCAUUUUCAUGCAAACAAAUCAAACUUUUGUUUUUCUUGGAAGUUUAAUAUGUUUUCAACAUUCCUUUUAUUUUAUUAGGUGACUUAAGAGUCAAGGUAAACUAGAAAUUACCACAUGACGAACAAGUGUUUAAUGGGACAGAUACGAAAUAUUAUUUUGCUAUCAAUGAAAAUAUUAUUUUCGUUAAAAAAUAUAUCAUCUUCACUCGCAUUCAUUGUCAUGAAAGCAAAUCAAAACUUUUGCUCUUCUUGGAAUUUUAAUACACUUUCCACAUUUGUUUUAUUGGUUGACUUAGAAUCAAGGUAAUCUAAAAAUUGCCACUUCUGUCUUAAUUUUGUGUGUGGCUAAAUCCUCUUUUCUGAAUCCAAUAUUUUAGUUGUCCCUUUUCUAAGAUUAAAGAUACUCAUAUGUGAAAUUGUUAGUAUCUUGAGAAUAAAAAUUUGAGCUUAUAGCAACGUUAAGAAGCUAACAUGAAGAUCUAAUUGCUUAAAUUUUUAACAUGUCCUCCAAGGUAGUUAAUGUUAGAUUUUUAAUAAUAGGGGUUUUGCUCAUUUUUCCACACCUAAAAAAAAAAAAAUACUAAAUGUCAAUUAAACCUCUUUUUUCUGAAAUUUUAGUGUAAAGUUAAUAACCAAGUGCCCAACACACUUAACACAUGUCAACCAAAUUAUUGAUAAUGCAUCACUUGGGAUAUAUGCCAACAAUGUAUCCUAAUCUAACAAUUUACAGGUAAUAUUUCUCUUCGCUUGGCCUAGCUAGGUCUUCAACGUAGUUUUCAUUAGAGAUGAAAGAAAGAAAUGUUAUUUUAUCAAUAAUACUAGGAACCUUAAUAUUUGAGUCCAAUAUGAAUUUCAAUUACUGUGUGUCAAAUUUAUUAAAAAUUAAAUUUUAUAACUUAUAAAAUUAUCAUUAUACUAUUUAAUAAAUGAAUUCCACAUGGAAUAAAAUUUAAAUUAAAACUCAAAUAUUGAGUUUCCUAACAUUACCGUUAACAUGGACCGAAAUGAAGAUAAAAUUGCAAAAUGAAGCAGCGCUAAGUUGUAUCGACUACAGCGAGAUGAUGCAAAUAACUUUAACACAUUACAGAAGCCCCAUCACCAACACUAUAAAGUAAGAUCAGUAAACACAAUUUGUUCAUUCUAUUUUGUGUUCUGAACAUUGGCUGGCUAAACAGCUGGCUGUUAAGACUCACAAAACGUAAACUGAAUAAAUAUAUUAAUAAUGAACAAGACAAAACUUGAAAAUUUUCUGACUGCUGCGGGUGGGCUCUACAUUUACAUCAUGAAGAUGCUUCUUGAUCAUAAUUUUAAAAUAAAUGGAAUUAAUUAAUCCAACUAAUCACUUCAUAAAUCAUAAUCAUCGUAAAGUUUAGAGUAAUCAGCAACUUAUUAGACGCUUCAUUAGAUACAAUUGAUCCUAUCCAAUAUCCAUAUGCCUUUAAAUUUCUUACAAGAAUUAUGAUAGUCUACUAGAUCAAAAAAUUGGUGGCUAUAUUUUGAUAUAUAAUUUGAAUAUAAUUUUCUACUUUGACCCCUAUUUUAAUUAGGGUGGCAAUCAAAUAAAAUUACUUAAAAAUAUUCGAUCAAAUACUCUUGGAGAAUAAUUUUUUAAAAUUUAUUUUGACUAACUGUAUGGACGAAUUUUCCUUGCACUGAAUAUUUAUCUCCUCAACACAAUAAAAUAUAAACAAAUUCUUUUUUUGUCAACAAAAUUAUAGAAUUUAAGAAUUUAAGAAUUUCAAAUAAUAAAAUUAAUGUAAAAAAAAAUCAAAAUAUGGAACCGGUUAGAAUAUAUGGUAGAAUUCAAAUUAAUUUAUAGGCUGAAAGUUAAUCUAGAAAAUUUUAAAUUUUCAGCCAAAAAUUUCAGAAAAGCCGCUCACGAUUCAAAAGAAAUUUAAUUUCUCAAGAAAAUGUGAUGUGAUAAACUUGUGAAUGUGAUUAGUAAUAUCUAUCACAACAUGUGACAGAUAUUGCUCUGACAUUAACUAUGAUACGGUAAUGAUAACUACGGACGACAGCUUGCAGUUCUCGGGUGGGGGGUUGGGGUAGUUGGCGGAAAUGAUAACUACGGAUGACAGCUUGUAGUGCUCGGGUGUUGGGGGAGGGGUGGGGGUGUGUGGGUUUUGGGGUAGUUGGCUAAGUUAAGGAUCAUGGAACUGACAGAUCCAGUGGCUGCCAACUCCCAUUGCUUGUACGUCAGUGCUUUUUCUCUCUCCCUCUCCUCAGGACACAUGGCUGCCAACCCUACUGGUAUGAGAAUUUUAGGGUUGUAGUUUGUUUUCAGUCUUUUUUGUACUUGCCAUUUUAAUUAGUUGUGCUAGUUAUGUAUUAUUUUAAAAAAUUAAAUUAAAAUCCUUGUGUGAGAGUCAUUUUGGAUUGGAGCACAUAGUUUGCAUUUCAAUUGAGUUGUAAAAUUAUCAUGUUAAAAACUAAUAAUAAAAUCAAUUAAUACUGUACAUCUUAUAAUUAAUGCCAUAUCACUUAGUGUGCAGACUAUGUAUAGGGUUUAAAAUAUUGUAAUUACACUAUAUACUAUUAUAUUUCAUGGGUGCAGGUGUGCACUAUACAUGUGUGUAGAGUGCUUUUUUAAUUUAUUUAUAUUAAAAUAUCCUUAAUAAUAAAUUAAAUGGUUGGUAUAUUUGUUGUAUGAAUUUUAUAAAAUUAUGAGUAUUCAAACUAGUUUUAGAAUGUAAGUAGCCCCACCCAAAUAAAAAUUAAGAUGAACUAAAAUGUUAUUCAUUUUUCAUUUAAUCCAAAGGUCCUUUGUAUUGGACCCCAGCUAAAAUGUUUUUUUUUUAAUUGAAUUUUGAGACUUUAUUAUUUUAAGAUUGUGUAUUAAAAGAACUAUAGCGAUAAUAGUAAGUUUUAAGAGGGAUUUAAGUAUCCUUAUUUUUUAUUUAAUUCGAAGGUCCAUAAUGUUGGACCUAGUUAACUGCUUUUUAUCCAUCAAACGGUAUUGAUUGCCCUUUAAUUUGUGACUUUUUUUUUAAACAAUAUGAUUGCAUUAAACAUCAGGAUAAAACAAAUCUCAAAGAUAACAACAUAGGUGUGGUGGGAAGUUAGUGCUUUGGAGAAAGUAAGUUCUUUGCUUUAGAAAUGAGCCAAAACAACUCGUACUAAGUCUAUCUGACACGAAUUGAGUUACACGAAGAGAAUCAGAUUCAAUUAUUAGUGGAGAUAAACCAAUCUCCUUAGCCAUCUCUAAUCCAAAGCAUAAGGCUUCAGCCUCAGCCAAAUCAACAUCAUCAGAGAAAACACCUUGAGCCAUUCCUGCAGUCAUCACCAAGCCAUCAUGAUUUCGCACAACAGCCCCAUAACCCACAAUACCCUUUUUGCAUCCACUGCUGCAUCAACAUUUAGCUUCAACCAAUCCACAGGUGGCGGUUCCCACUUUACAUUCUCCUGCCUUUCACUACUCAAAUUACACUUAACACUAUUAAUAUCCAAACUCUGAAAAGAGUCCAAAAUCCCUUGAGCCCGUGCACAAAUAUUUUGUGCUCCACUAGAUUGACCCCUAAACAGCAUAUUGUUUCGUGCCCCCCAAAUACACCACAUAAACAUCACCAUUAAGCAUAACUCAGUUAUGGAUAAGAUAGACACAACAUAUUUAAAAAAAACACCAGUAAUCAUUUGAAGCAUCACAUAAUACCAAAUCAGCAAAUAUUGUUUCCCGCCAAACCUUUUGUGCGAAAGCACAAUGAAAUAAUGCAUGCAUAAGGGUCUCACAAAGAGAACCACACAAACUACAGCUAGCAUCAGAGAGUACCUUUCGAAUUACGAGAUUGACCUUUGUCGGAAGUACAUUGUCCAGAAUACGGCAAAGAAAAAUCUUAACUUUGGCGGGCACCUGUAAAGUCCAAAUCAAGUUCCAGCCCUUUGAAACCCCAACCGACAAUCCCGCAGUUGCUGAAUCCCUAAGCUGCAUAGCCAGAUGAUACCCCGAUUUAACAAUGUACAUACUACAUUUAUCGAAAUGCCAAAACACAGCAUUGUCCUUAUGCUCAGAGGGAAGCUUCAAAGUUAAAAUCAAUUCAACAUCAGUAGGUAAAAAGUGUUCCCGUAAUCUUGCCGCAUGCCAGCCAUUCCUAGGAUUAAGUAAAUAAUCUACUGUUGUUUCCAGUGGUAGUGAAGCUGGUGAUAUAGGCUUUAAUUUGUGACUUUAGUUUAUUGUAUAAGACCAAAUAUUAAAAAUACAUCAAGAACAAUGUAUAGUGAUAAAAAUAAAGUUUAAAGACUAAAAUAUUAUUAUCUUUUUAUUUAAUCCAAAGGUCCACUGUAUUGGACCUCACUAAAAUGAAUUUAGCAAGCAUUCUUGACUUGUGAUUGGGCUAUUGACACCUAUUUUACUUUGUAACUUCGUCGCUUAUGCUGAGCAUGUGCAUGCAUUUUCUUCGGCUGUUGACUUCUUGAUAUUCACUGAUAAAGCUGACUACAUGCUUGUUUUUUUAUGAUUUUUCAAAGAAUCUUUUCUUCAGUUCUUUUGUGAACAGGUGUACGAAUGUCAUCACGAGAGGCCAAUUUUGUUCGAUACUCUGUUCUAGGGGUGGGCGCAGUUCGGUUCGAUUCGGUUCAGUUUUUUACUAAAUUUUUCAUAAUCGUUCGCUUACGAUUAUUUUAAAAUCAUAAUCGCGAUUAAUCAAAUUACCGAAAUAAUCAAAUACUCGAUUAAUUGAAAUAAUUCGAUUCGAUUCAGUUCGAUUAUUUCGAUUAUGGGCCUAUUGGGCCUAUUUUGGGUUUUUUUAAAUUUAAAACCUUAAAUUAAUAAAUCUACCACAAACAUAAAAAGCUAACAAACAAAAAAUCAAAAUAUAUCACAAACACAUGCAAUAACAUAGACAUAAAUAUCUAAGCAGCCAAAUGACAGCCGUGAAUGACUCACAAGUUCAGAAGAUAUUUAUAUUUUUAUACUAUAUCACGAGGUAAGUGGCCACCUAAAAAAGCGGGGAACAAAUUAUAAAUAUUGAAUAUCUAAUAAAAAGAUUAUAAUUAUUGAAUAACCACACACAUUUUACAAAAUUAAAGAGACUUUAAGUGGCAUGUAUUGAGAGCAUAACGACUGGAAUGGUUGGUAAACACCAACUUUUACCUAGCAGCUAACUCUUUGCUUCUACCUAAUUCUGGAAGUACAUUAGUAAAUCACUUUCAUUUCAUACUUGUUCAUUUUGUUUAACAUAGAGGCCAGAGAGGAAUGAGUCAAUUUAACUUAGCAUUUUACCACUUCUCAUGAGAAUUAAUCAAUUUAUCCAGGAGAAGAGGAGAAGGUUAUUAUGAUUAUCCAAAUCAAAGAGUAAUUAAAGCUUGGUUGUAAAGGCAGCUUCUCUGAGAGCGUUUUAACCUUAUUCGAGCUUUAUUGGGAAAAGGUUUUCAAACAUGCAUUAAGAUAACGAGAAUUAAUAUAAUCACAUGCACUUGUUACACAUGGCACACAUGCCUGAUUUUAAUAGCUUGAAACCCAAGGGUUAACGUGUGUAUCAAAUCAAAUCAAGCAGCAAGCACUUUUGAUGGCCAGCUUUGAUCAAAUCGAUACGAAUAAACAAAUUUGAGAGGAAUGGUGAUUAUGACUUGUGAUGCCGUUAAGAUGCAAGAAAAAUAGUUUUUAUAUGUGUUACUCACUUACUCUUGCAAUGGUAGCCAGGAAGUGUUAUGUAAUUAUAAUUAAUUAAUUUAAUUUACGUUGUAUUUUAAUCAAUUAGUUCUGUCCUUCCUCGAAUUUAAUUUACACAAUAUAUUAAGUUCGCGCAAAAUUUUAAAGACAAUCACAAAAAAUUCAUACCCAGAACUCGCCUUCAAGCAACGUGCACCAAGUUGAUAUCUGUUUUUUUCUCUUUCUUUUCCCUUUCUUUUCUUUUAACCCAAUUUUUACUUCAAUCUUCGUUUUUCUUCUUCCCCCAAAAUUAAACAGCGAUUAUGCGUGAAAACAACGAUUACAUUCCUCAACAGCUACAGAGAAUAAAAGCCACGGCACUUUCAAGAUACUGAAACAUACCCACAUUUACUAAACAAAAGAGAUUUAAUUUAAAAAAAAUUGCAGAGUGGAUUAAGCACUGACCAAGUGAAAAGCUGACCAAGCGAAGUAAGAGCAACAGAAUGAACUCCACCAAGAGCAAUACAACGAACAGGAUCAUCCAAAUAAGGAUUCAAAGUAGGCACAAACGCAGCAUCCUCAUGCCCAAAUCCAAGCCGCCCGCCAUCUCCUUUGCCCCAAAUCCACAACUUCUCGUUCACCACCAACCCAGAAUGAAACAACCCACAUGAUGAAGAAUUUGAAAAGCGCUCUGACCCGGAUUGCUGCGACUCGGUUGGUGGCUGGAGUCACUCUGAGCGCUUAGCUGAUACGUCAGCGAGUUUCCGAACCUUUUGUGAGUCGCUGCUGAGAAAGGAACUCCCCGAGCUGGAGAUGAUCAAAUCGAGGGAGGCACUGAGGUGCGAGGCGGAGAAAAGGAGAAUGGAAUCAGAGGCUGAGAUGACUCGGAUGAUGAUGCAGACUCAAAUGCAGAUUGCGUCGUUUGUUGAGGGGAUGAAUGCAGGCUUUUAGGUUUUAGCUUUCAAAACAAUCGGUUUAUAUGAGAUUUCGGUUCGGUUUUGCGGUUUUUUUUUUAAAUCGAAAACCGAACCGAUUGGUUUUACUAUUUUUUUUAUAUUACUAUUUCGGUGUUUUGGAGAUAAAAUAACUGCAUAAAAAUUGAACCGAACCGAUUGGUUUAAGUAAGGAGAAAAUGCCCUUUCAAAAUCUGAUAAGGUUGUUAAAGUAGCUCAUUAUUCAAGCAGCUUAAUAAUGCCACGUCAGCCGAAAGUUGUUAAGUGAAGAACAACAGCUCAGCAUGAUUUGUUAAAGGUCAUUGUCCAGCUCAUAAAACCAUUAUGUAACAAAUUGUAGUUGACUUGUUAGUUAGAAAAAGUUUGUUAGUUACAAGUUAUUGUCACGUGUGAAUAGUUGUAUAUAUAUAUAUACAUUGAUUUGUAAACAAUGAUAUGGCAGAAAUCUUCUGGAAAUUCAUUGUUUCAUUUUCUCUAAAAUUUUCCUUUGAGCCAAACAGCACAUCUCUGUUUUUCUACAUGGUAUCAAAACCAAUAAUGACUAGCUCAAGUACUGCAACCUCAAAUCAACCAAUCAUAAACUAAAAUCAACCUUCACAAACAUCGUUUACCUUUGUUGCUACCGUGAAACUUGAUCGAUCAAAUUUUCUACUUUGGUGCAAACAAGUCUUAACCUCAAUCAAAGGAAAUUGUCUUGAAAGAUUCAUUUCAGAACUACAAAUCAUUCCAGAACAAUAUCUAUCUGACUCAACAACUGAGGGAUUUGGAGAGAGCAUUGAAAUCCAGCUUAUAUCAACUGGAGAGCACAAGAUCAAACACUUCUUGGCUGACUGUUAUCAACUAUCAGUGAAGGUAUUCUGAGUUCUGUUCUUAACUAUGAUACUUCUUUUGACGUGUGGAGAUGAUUGAAAAACAAUUUGGAGUUCAAUAUGAGACUAAGAUAAUGCAACUUCAAUAUGAAAUGAACAUUCUAAGAAAAGAUUCAAUUACUGUUGAAUGAAAUUGCUUGCUAACAAACUUGCUUGUGCUGGUGAUAUAAUUACUGUUGAGUGUUAGAAAAUGCAUAUUUAUAAAGGAGAAAACCGUCAUUUUACAUUUCAAGUCUUACUAACAACCCUUACUUUUAUGUAUUUAACCUUCUUGUGAUGUAAUUACGUGUGUGUUAUUUUAAUUAAGUAUUUUAUGUAUUUUAGGGGCAUUAUAGUCAUUUCACAAUAAAGGAGAGAUCAAACGGCAAAACGGACAUCACUUUUGAACUCAGGACGGUCGAAAACCUUAGGAGGAGCAUAAAAGGAAAAAUGGCACUAUUCACAUGUACGGUACUAUUCACGUAUACGGUACUGUCUACGUUACUGUUCACGACACUGUUCACAUAGACGGAUCGAUGACGUGGCAUUGACCGAUGAUGUGGCAUUGACCGAUGAUGUGGCAUUGACUGAUGAGGUGUCACGAUCCUGUUGGACUAAAAUUCUUAUGUACUGUUGAUGGUGACGUGGCAGCAUAUCAGUGGACGAAAAAUCUCGCGUAUGGUGCAUGCAUCACACAGGAUUAUUGUCAACCAAACCGCGUUACUGUUCAUCCAGGUCAAACCGUGUUACUGUUCAUCCGCGUGGUCAAACCGUGGACUGUUGACUGAUGACGUGGCGCAAUCCUGAGCGUCCAAACUGUUUUUAAUCCGAUGGCCAUGAUUUACUCCAUGUAUCUAUAAAAAGGGGGCCUUCCUCCCCUAAUUUGAUAUCUCUGAAUCCAUUUUUGGGAUCCAUUUUCUGUAAUUCCCUCUCCAUCUUGUAUUUUCUUCGUAUUUUAAUAAAUUCCCAUUUUGCCCCUAGUUCAAUUAUGAGUAGCUAAUUUCCUUUCAAGCUUGGGUUGAAGGUGAAGUCUCAACAUGUGUCAUGGGCUUUAUUUGGUAAAUUUAUUUUCUUUUCCCCUCUAGUUUUUGUGGAUGAUUUGACUUAUCGUCGACAAAUAAUACUGAUCUUGUCUAGAUACCGUCUUGGUUACACCGGCUCUCUAGUAUAAGGUUAUUAUUAUUUGGCACGAUAAGCCCUUAGCACCAUAUUGAUUAGAGCGUGGUUCAUGAGGUGUGGAUCCCCCCCUCAUGAUUUAAUUGGCAUUAAUACGAAUUAUUUAGCCCAUGAUGCAUGUUGAUACGGAUCCAGAUACCCAAGUACGUCAUUUCAAUAGCAUUCUCUUCAAUUUAUUCUCGCUAUUUCAAUUCCAAUUUUAGAAUUUAUUCUCGCCAUUUUAAUUUAAGUUUUAGUAUAUUCCAAAUCAUUUCCACCACAAAUCCAAUCACCCAUUUACAAAAUUAAUUCUACACAAUUAAAAUCCACCUCCUCGUGGGAUCGACACUCGUCACCAUUAGUCUAUACUACAAUAGAUUCGUGCGCUUGCGAGUACAUUAAAAUUUGCACAACAAGUUUUUGGCACCGUUGCCGGGGAGGUAAGUAAUUUUAAUUCAUAGAAUUAAUUUUUGUGAAUAAUUUCUUUUAUUUAUUUUUAUUAUUAUUAAAAAAAAGAAAAAAAAAGUGAAUCCGCAUUUAGAGGUUAGUAUUUCUUUUCUUUUUCUCUUCUUUAAAAUUCUGUAAUUUAAUUUUCAAUUUAUUUUUUCUUUGUAAUUUUUGUUUAUCUUAUUAAUUUAAUUUUUAGUUAAUGUAUUUCACGUAUUUAUUUUUGUGUAUUUUUAUAGUAAGGUUGUAAUAGCGCAAUAAUGUUAGUAUCGUAAUUUCUCCCUCUUCUUUAUUUUUAUUUGUUUUGUUCUCAUCUUUAUUUUUAUUUUAUUUGUUUUGCAUGCAUGGUCGUAGGUCAUUAUUACCUAAUCUUGAACCUGUAGACCUUGAAUUAGAAAAAACACUUCGCACACAAAAGGACAUUAAAAAUAAAGUUGGAAUGGAUUUACAAGCACCACAGGAGAGGCCAUUUAAGGACUAUUUUAGUCCCUUAGCUAAUUUGAGCACAUCAUGUAUUAGAUACCCAAAUGUAGCUGCUAGGAGCUUUGAACUAAAACCUAGUGUGCUAAAUUGUCUCCCCACAUUCUAUGGCUUAGAAAAUGAGGACCCAUAUAAUCAUCUGAAUGAUUUUCAUGCAAUUUGUCAAACUUUUAAAUAUGAAAAUUUUUCAGACGAUGAUGUUAAACUCAGAUUAUUCCCAUUUUCUUUAAAGGAUAGAGCUCGUUCAUGGCUUAAUACAUUGCCUGCCAAUAGCAUUUCAUCAUGGGAACAAAUGGUUACAAAAUUUUUGAAUAAAUAUUUCCCAGUGCAUAAAACCAAUUCUAUUCGCAGGGAAAUUUCAGAGUUUACACAAAGAGAGGACGAGCAGUUUUUUCGAAACAUGGGAGCGAUUUAAUGGGCUACUCUUGAAGUGUCCACAUCAUGGGUACGAGAAAUGACACCAAUGCCAAUACUUUUUGGAGGGAUUACUACCAAAUGUGCAAGAAUGGCUAAUGGCAACAAGUGGAGGAGAGCUAAUGUCAAAAAGUGCAUCAGAGAUUUGGGAAUUCUUCCAGCGACAAGCAGAUAAUUCCCAACAACGGAGUCGGUCACUCAGGAAUACCAGAAGAAUUAAAGGAGUAAAUGAGGUUCAAAUUGGCGAAUCCAGUUAAGAAAUUAAAGAAGUCAAAGCAAUAAUUGAAGGUCUCUCUCGACAAAUAGCAUCGUUAUCGACUGCUAAAUCAACAGAACCACAUGACCAUGACUCAUACCCAGAUCAAGCCAAUGCCAUAGGUGUAAUGAGAAAGCCAUCAAAUUACAACCCAUACUCCAACACAUAUAACCCUGGAUGGAGAGACCACCCUAAUUUUUCAUGGUCUCAAGGACUCCAACAGAAUGGACCAACAGCUCCAGCUCCACCAAUGCAACCAAUUCCUCAAGCCUCUCAGCCCCCAUUUAGACCAUUCAAUCAGAACCAAAACUACUCUCAACCCAAACCAUGGGAGGAUUCAUUCCAGAAUUUCAAGAAUGCUACUCACUCUACGAUUGAGCAACAGAACCGCACCAUUGAUGGACUACGAAAUGAGUUGAGAGCAGGCUUCAACUCACAAGCUCAAUCAGUUUCAAGCCUCGAGAAGAUGGUGGGACAACUUGCUUCUUCAGUUCAGACCUUGGCAAUAACUGUUGAGAAAGGAAAAUUUCCAAGUCAACCAGUGCCUAAUCCUAAAGGAGUACAUGAAGCAAGUACCAGUUCACCACAACAGCAUGGAGAGGUCAAAGCAGUCAUGACCUUGCGAAAAGGAAAGGAAGUCGACAACAAAGUGGAGAUGCCGGUGACAAAAGAAAAUCAAAUUGUACCUGUGAAUGUUGAAGACUCACCACCGGAGGAGAAAGAAGAAACCAACCCACGAGAAUACGUUCCGAAAGCUCCAUUUCCUCAGAGGUUAGCGAAAGGCAAGAAAGGAAAAUCCACAGGUGAGAUUCUCGAAAUCUUCAAACAGGUAAGUGUUAAUAUCCCUUUGCUUGAUGCUAUUAAACAAGUUCCAUCUUAUGCCAAGUUUCUUAAAGACCUUUGUACUAAAAAGAGAAAUAUGCAUGUUCAAAAGAAGGCAUUUUUAACAGAAAAUGUUAGUUCUAUACUCCAACAUAAAAUUCCUCUAAAAUGCAAAGACCCAGGCUCCCCCACUAUCUCAUGUAGUAUAGGGAACCACACAAUUGAGAAUGCUUUGUUGGAUUUAGGAGCUAGUGUAAAUUUGUUGCCUUACUCUGUAUUCGUGAAACUUGGACUGGGAGAAUUACACCCAACUCCAGUGGUGUUACAACUUGCAGAUCGGUCCACAAAAAUACCUCGUGGUAUUGUGGAGGACGUGCUUAUCCAGGUAGACAAGUUUUAUUUUCCUGUUGAUUUCAUUGUAAUUGACACUCAACCAAUACAGGACUAAAGGAAGCACAUCCCCAUUAUUCUAGGCCGACCUUUCUUGGCAACUGCAGAUGCUCAUAUUCAAUGUAGGACCGGAAAUAUGCAAUUGUCCUUCGGCAACAUGACUAUGGAGCUAAACAUCUUUAACAUUGCCAAACAACCUCACAGUGCAAAUGAUGGAAUUGUUGAUGUGGAUUUAAUAGAAACAAUAGUUGAUAAUACUUUUCUUUCAAACCUUAGUGAUGAUCCUUUACAAACAUGUUUAACUCACUUUGGUUUGGAUUUUGAUAUUGACAGAUCGGUCGAAGAGGUCAACGCCCUACUUGACUCAACACCAUCCAUGGACACUAAUAAAUGGAAGUCAAGAGUUGAACAACUAGCACCAUCAGAGAAGAAACUCAUUCCAUCAUCAGAAUCACCACCGAAACUCGAGCUCAAACCAUUACCCAACACUCUGGAAUAUGCAUUUUUGGGAGAAGAAAGUACUCUGCCGGUAAUCAUCUCAUCAUCCCUAAAUGACGAACAAAAAGGUAAGUUGUUAGAUGUUUUAAAAGAGCACAAAGGGGCAUUAGGAUGGACCAUAGCAAACAUAAAAGGUUUAAACCCAGUAGACUGCAUGCAUUACAUUCACCUUGAUGAAAAUGCUAAAACUACUAGGGAGAUGCAACGUCGGUUAAAUCCUAACAUGAAAGAAGUUGUUAGAACUGAAGUCCUUAAGCUAUUAGAUGCAGGUAUCAUUUACCCAAUUUCUAAUAGUUCAUGGGUCAGUCCUGUACAAGUCGUCCCCAAAAAGUCAGGAGUCACAGUAGUUACCAAUGCUGAUAAUGAAUUGAUACCAACUAGAGUAACUACAGGAUGGCGUGUAUGCAUUGAUUAUAGAAAGUGAAUUCUGUCACAUGUAAAGACCAUUUUCCUUUACCAUUUAUCGAUCAAAUGCUUGAUAGAUUAGCAGGCCACGAAUUUUAUUGCUUUCUAGAUGGCUACUCAGGAUAUAAUCAGAUUCCCAUAGCACCAAAAGAUCAGGAGAAAACUACUUUCACUUGCCCUUUUGGCACUUUUGCAUAUAGGAGAAUGCCAUUUGGAUUAUGUAAUGCACCUGCUACAUUCCAACGAUGUAUGUUGAGCAUUUUUUCUGAUAUGGUUGAACGAUUCCUUGAAGUCUUUAUGGAUGAUUUUUCUGUCUUUGGUGACUCGUUUGAUCAAUGUUUACAUCAUCUAACGCUAGUUCUGCAGAGAUGUACCGAGAAGAACUUAGUCUUGAAUUGGGAGAAGUGCCAUUUUAUGGUAAAACAAGGUAUUGUUCUCGGUCACAUCAUUUCGAGCAAAGGUAUUGAGGUUGACAAAGCCAAGGUGGAUCUCAUUUCUAAUCUUCCUCCACCUAAAACAGUCAGAGAAGUAAGAUCUUUCCUUGGGCAUGCUGGUUUCUAUAGACGUUUCAUUAAAGAUUUUAGCAAAGUUUCUAGACCCUUAUACAAUCUACUUGCUAAGGAUGUAUCUUUUAUCUUUAAUGAUUCAUGUCUAAUGGCGUUUGAAAAAUUAAAGCAGUUGUUGACAUCAUCACCCAUCAUUCAGGCCCCAAACUGGAGCUUACCAUUUGAGCUCAUGUGUGAUGCAUCUGAUUAUGCGGUAGGAGCAGUAUUAGGACAAAGAGUUGAUCGAAUUCCCCACGUUAUUUACUAUGCUAGUAUGACAUUGAAUGAUGCACAGUUGAAUUAUUCAACUACUGAAAAAGAAAUGCUAGCAGUAGUGUUUGCAUUAGAGAAAUUUCGAUCUUAUCUCAUUGGUUGUAAAAUAAUUGUAUUCACAGAUCAUGCUGCUCUUAAAUAUCUUCUCACAAAGAAAGAUGCAAAAGCUAGACUAAUUCGUUGGGUGUUAUUUUUGCAGGAAUUCGACUUGGAAUUCAAGGAUAAGAAAGGCACAGAGAAUGUUGUGGCGGACCACCUCUCUCGUCUCCAUUUUGACACAAUUACAGAAUCAUUACCAUUGAAUGAGUCAUUUCCAGAUGAACAAUUAAUGAAUGUGGAAGUAUUACCUUGGUAUGCUGAUAUAGUUAAUUAUCUUGUUACAGGUAAACUUCCAGAGCAUUGGACCAAGCAAGACAAGGCUAAAUUCUUUGCGGAAAUAAAGAAUUUCUUUUGGGAUGACCCGUAUUUGUUCAAGUAUUGUGCAGACCAAAUUGUUAGACGAUGUGUCCCACAAAAUGAAAUUCAAAAUAUUCUUUCAUUCUGCCAUGAACAAGCUUGUGGAGGCCAUUUUAGUGCUAAGAAAACAGCGACUAAAGUUUUACAAUGUGGUUUCUAUUGGCCAACUAUAUUUCGAGAUGCUUACACUUUCUGUUCUUCAUGUGAUAGGUGUCAACGAAUGGGGAGCAUUACACGAAGGAACAUGAUGCCACUAAAUCCAAUUUUAGUGGUUGAGAUUUUUGACGUAUGGGGUAUCGACUUCAUGGGACCCUUUCCCCCUUCUUUUGGCCAUCAAUACAUAUUGGUUGGUGUUGACUACGUAUCAAAAUGGGUGGAAGCAAUUCCAUGCAGAACCAAUGAUCACAAAGUGGUGAUAGGAUUUUUGAAAAGCAACAUUGUUUCACGCUUUGGAUUCCCUCGAGCGAUAAUCAGUGAUGGUGGUGCCCACUUUUGUAACAAAGCAUUCAAGGCUCUUUUGACAAAGUAUUCAAUCACACACAAAGUGGCGACCCCGUAUCAUCCGCAAACCAGUGGCCAAGUUGAGAUCUCCAAUCGAGAAAUAAAGCACAUAUUAGAAAAGACGGUGAGGCCAGACAGGAAAGAUUGGUCAUUACGACUUGAUGAUGCAUUAUGGGCAUAUAGAACGGCUUUCAAGACCCCGAUUGGGAUGUCACCCUACAGGCUAGUGUAUGGAAAAGCUUGCCACCUACCUGUGGAACUCGAGCAUCGUGCAUAUUGGGCCAUCAAGAAAUUCAACUUUGACAUGCAGCAAGCCAGCUCAGAAAGAAGAUUACAGCUGGCAGAACUUGAAGAAAUUCGCAAUGAUGCAUACGAAAAUGCCAAGAUUUACAAGCAACGAAUGAAAGUCUUCCAUGAUAAGCAAAUUAUGAGAAAAUCGUUCACUCCAGGUCAGAAAGUGCUUUUAUUCAAUUCUCGCUUGCACUUAUUCCCAGGUAAGUUACGCUCUCGUUGGUCUGGCCCAUUUAUUGUACAUACUGUUUUUCCACAUGGGGCAAUUGAAAUUAAGGACCCAAAGAACGAUGUCACGUUUAAAGUUAAUGGUCAAAGAUUAAAGCCAUAUCUAGAGUACCAACCACAUGGAGAAAACAUCAAAAUAAAUUUGAGUGACCCACCAAAUUUGAAUUGAUUUUUUUUCUUUUCGUUGAUUUGAUUUUUCUUUAUUUCUUUUUAUUAUUAUUCUUUUGCUAAUUGAAAUUGUUUUUGCAUAAGUGUGUUUAUUUUACCAUUAAGUUUUCUCUUAUCAUUUUUAAUCAUGAGUCUCAUACUUAGACCGUUCCUCCUGAACAUUCUUAAACCACUUCAACGUGUCAAAACUCAUCUCAAAAGGCAGAUUCUAUUUUGUAAAACACAACGCAUUUGGGCUCUACAACCACCAGAGUUAGUAGCCUAUGUUGAGGGUUUAGAACGCCAACUCAGAGACAUUGAGAGAAGUGUUUACGACAUCCAGUUGGAGCUUGAGGUAAAUUCAAUAAGAGGACGAUUUUAAUUUUCUUUGUGUGUUUUGAUUUGUUUUUCUGUUUGUGUGCUUUAGUUUGUUACCCCGGUGAAGUGGCGGAUAACGGUACUCCGUGACAAUCAAGUCGGUUACUUCAGUUUCCCAUAAUAACUGAUAUUCUGAGGCGAAGGUAUGGAUAGAAAUGAGAUUCUAGCAAAGCUUCACAAGCGAUUCCAUUCACUUCCUCAGAAUGCCCUCCUUACAAUCUAUAAAGCCCGGUCUGAACGCAUGCGAUUGCUCAUAAGGAAUAACAUAACUGCAGACAUCCGUUGGUUAAUCGAGGCUAAAGUACGAUUGGCAGGUGAGUUACCUCCUAAAUUUAUUGCAUACAUGCCUGGUUGUGGUAAAGGAAAUUACGCAAGAAAACGACGAGCUCGAAGAAUUUCUGUUGCUUGUCACAAGUGUGCCAGAAUGAGUUGCGAUAGAAACCCAUGUUCUUUAGGAAUGGUGUCUGAUAACAGAGAAGAUAAGAUUCAAUUCAUUAGGGAUGGCUUGAAUAAGGAGUCAUUGGAUGAUAUCCUUUUGUCUCUUGAAACGCAUCCCAGUGGAUAUGUGCAAGGAGCGAUUCUCCAGUUAUGGCCAUUAUUCCAGAAAGAGCAUACACGAUAUAGUCUUGGGAAUCUGACUAUAAACGACCCUGUUUGCCAGUUUAUAAGAAAACUGGAUAGGAAGCCUAUCCUCGACCCAUAGAGGGCGUUCAAGCCGUUUCUGGACGUAAAACCAGAGGAAGAUGUGAGCCACAGUCGCAACUACGUGUAAAUAUCCUUUUACUUUCUGUUAUUUUAUUUCACUAUUGUUUUAUCGUUUGCAUUAUUGCCUUUAAUAAUUUUAUUACUGUUUGCUUUUUCCUUUUUACUGUUUCCUUUUUGACUCGCGAGCCACGUGCUUUACGCGUUAUUUGACACUGACAUGUUACCUCAUUCACAGCUGUGAUCCACUGUCACCAAGAUUCUUAAAUGUGAUUUACUUUUUGUCAAGCACUCACAAAUUAUUUUUGAGAAGUAUCACAAUGGCAGCUACUCCCAAUAAACAAUUCAAGAACAUUUGUGUGCUUUCUGGAUUUACCUAUGGCAAACAUAAAGAGUUCGUGGAGGCAGCCAUAGAUCUUGGUCGAAGCAUAACAGUGAGAAAAUUACAUUUGGUGUAUGGAGGAGGUAACCGAGGGUUAUCAAAAAUGGUCUCAGAAGCAGCUUUUAUCAGAGGAAGUCAAGUGUUAGGCAUCAUCCUAAGAGUCCUAAAACCAUUGGGCAGUUCGUCUGACUCAUCAACUGGAGAAGAGUUAGUCGUCUCAGGUAUGCAAGAAAGAAUAACUGAAAUGCUUAAUCAUGCUGAUGCUUUUAUUUUCCUUCCAGGAGAUCUUGCAACACUAGAGGCACUUAUGACACUAGCAUCUUGGGCCCAUCUGCACAUCCACCAGAAACCCAUCGGUUUGUUAAAUGUCAAUAACUUUUAUGAUGGCUUUAUCGCAUUUCUUAACCAUGCAAUAAAAAACUAUUUCAUUCCUUCUAAUGUGAAAAAACUCUUUAUUUGUGCUCACACUGCUAAUGAGCUACUUGAUAUGUUACAAGCUUAUAAAAAGGAGCCAGACCCCUGGACCUUUGUGUUGGAGCGACCAAAUAAUGAUGGUAACAGUAGCCGCAGUAAGAAGUACAAAUUAGAUUUAACUCUCCGCCUGUAAAUAUUUUCUUCUGUGUUGCACCACCCAGAUGAUGUCUUCUAAACUCUACUUCUUUCCUUUAAAACAUUGAGGACAAUGUUUCGUUCUGGUUGGGGGGAGGGAAUAGUCGACAAUUGUGGAAUCUUGGUUAAGUUUUUACUGAUUUUUUGUUGUAGAAACUAACUGUUGCUAACAUUUUAUGUUGAAGAUGGCUGAAUAUGGAGUGUAGUGCCUCUAGAAACGCAUCUUCUUAGUUUAAAAAAAAAAAAAAUUUCUUUUUCUAAUUAAUUUUUCUACAUCAUUUUCACAUUUCUGCAUGCAUAUUUUCCUUUCAUGUUUAGAAUAGGUUGGGGGGUAGAAUGUUGUUUAAAAAAAAAAAAAUUGUGUUAUUUGUUUUAACAUUGGAUGACAUGAUUAAUUUCAAAUUUUAGUAUUUGUAUUAUCUUUGGUCUUAAGUGAUGUUACGCUAUGUUUGCUACUUUACAUGUUGAUGUCGGAGACAAAUAUGAGUUGCUUGAAGGAAUGAACAUGUCAUAAAUAAGUGCCAAGUGAGUAGUUGAGCCUAUCAUUUUCUUAGAGAGUAACCCUUUUGCCCAUUCUCUAUACAGCUUAGCAGUUUAUUAUUUUAUACACGAUCUCUAGAUUUCUUUUAAGUUAACCCUUUAAAAAAAAAUAUGGUAAAAUUAAAAAAAAAAGAAAAAAGAAAAAAAAUGUGUGUUGCUACAUUGGGAGGCCCAUCUAACUAGUAGAUAUGGAUAAUUAUUUAGAGCCCUAAAAGACGAUGGAAAUGCCAUCUUUGAUCCGUUUGAGCCUUUCUAGCCAUCCCUUUUAUUAAAUAUCCAUAGUUACCCCUUUUGAGCCUUUAAAAAAAAAAAAAAAAAAGAACAAAAAUCUUUUCUUUGUCAACUUAUCAUCUUGACCCACUCCGAUUUGGAGUAUUACCCAAUGUCUUUUAAGUUCCAUCACCUAUUUAUGUUUGAGAAAAUGUAAAUAAUUAUGUUGUUCAGUGAAGUUAUGCCAAAUAAAAGCAAAAAGAAAAAAAAAACAAAAACAAAAGUUGUUGUUUCAAAAGAAUAAAAAUAACAAUAAUAGGUGAAAUCCACCUUGCAAGUUCCAAAAAAAAAAAAAAAAUUCUGCAUUUUUUCUCAAACAUACACUUUGUUUUCCUUAUUUCCUUUCUUUGUUAGCCAUAUCCCUAGCCUACGUUACGUCCUAAUAAAAGUCCUUCUUGAUUUUAGGGAACUAUAGUUUGAAGUAGAAACUAGUUAUAUGGGCUAAAAAGAUGUAGUGAUGCAUAAUAAAAAAAAAAGAUGAAUAAAGUCGGUUGACUAACAUUUUAUUUGACUUGAGAUCGUAUUAUUUCUAAGCUGAGGGCAUAUUUAUUUCAUCUUGGUGAGAGCAUGUGAUAUCAUUUCUUUAUUAUUUUCUCUCUCAAUUACCAUUCAUUGGAGUGACUAUGUUUAUUGGGUUUUAAUUUCUUUGUGAGAGUGUCACUACUUCCAGUGAGAUUUUGGGGUUUGACAUGUCAUUCUUGAAAGUAGCUAUAACAAAGUCUACUGGGCUAAUUCAUGUGGAUGGUUGAUGUGGGUGUGAUGUUGCUUUAGACUGGAGAUAAUGCUUAUACUUUUAUUUGAUUGCUAUCAUUAAUCUGAUUGAAUAAACACGAGUGUUUCUAAAAAAAAAUAAAAAAAAAAUCAUUUUGAAUUUGAAUUUUGUUUUCGCUUUAUUUGCUAGGGACUAGCAAUAAGCUGGUUGGGGGGUGUGUUGAGUGUUAGAAAAUGCAUAUUUAUAAAGGAGAAAACCGUCAUUUUAUAUUUCAAGUCUUACUAACAACCCUUACUUUUAUGUAUUUAACCUUCUUGUGAUGUAAUUACGUGUGUGUUAUUUUAAUUAAGUAUUUUAUGUAUUUUAGGGGCAUUAUAGUCAUUUCACAAUAAAGGAGAGAUCAGACGGCAAAACGGACAUCACUUUUGAACUCAGGACGGUCGAAAACCUUAGGAGGAGCAUAAAAGGAAAAAUGGCACUAUUCACAUGUACGGUACUAUUCACGUAUACGGUACUGUCUACGUUACUGUUCACGACACUGUUCACAUAGACGGAUCGAUGACGUGGCAUUGACCGAUGAUGUGGCAUUGACCGAUGAUGUGGCAUUGACUGAUGAGGUGUCACGAUCCUGUUGGACUAAAAUUCUUAUGUACUGUUGAUGGUGACGUGGCAGCAUAUCAGUGGACGAAAAAUCUCGCGUACGGUGCAUGCAUCACACAGGAUUAUUGUCAACCAAACCGCGUUACUGUUCAUCCGGGUCAAACCGUGUUACUGUUCAUCCGCGUGGUCAAACCGUGGACUGUUGACUGAUGACGUGGCGCAAUCCUGAGCGUCCAAACUGUUUUUAAUCCGAUGGCCAUGAUUUACUCCAUGUAUCUAUAAAAAGGGGGCCUUCCCCCCCUAAUUUGAUAUCUCUGAAUCCAUUUUUGGGAUCCAUUUUCUGUAAUUCUCUCUCCAUCUUGUAUUUUCUUCGUAUUUUAAUAAAUUCCCAUUUUGCCCCUAGUUCAAUUAUGAGUAGCUAAUUUCCUUUCAAGCUUGGGUUGAAGGUGAAGUCUCAACAUGUGUCAUGGGCUUUAUUUGGUAAAUUUAUUUUCUUUUCCCCUCUAGUUUUUGUGGAUGAUUUGACUUAUCGUCGACAAAUAAUACUGAUCUUGUCUAGAUACCGCCUUGGUUACACCGGCUCUCUAGUAUAAGGUUAUUAUUAUUUGGCACGAUAAGCCCUUAGCACCAUAUGGAUCCCCCCCUCAUGAUUUAAUUGGCAUUAAUACGGAUUAUUUAGCCCAUGAUGCAUGUUGAUACGGAUCCAGAUACCCAAGUAUGUCAUUUCAAUAGAAUUCUCUUCAAUUUAUUCUCGCUAUUUCAAUUCCAAUUUUAGAAUUUAUUCUCGCCAUUUUAAUUUAAGUUUUAGUAUAUUCCAAAUCAUUUCCACCACAAAUCCAAUCACCCAUUUACAAAAUUAAUUCUACACAAUUAAAAUCCACCUCCUCGUGGGAUCGACACUCGUCACCAUUAGUCUAUACUACAAUAGAUUCGUGCGCUUGCGAGUACAUUAAAAUUUGCACAACAAUUACUGAGAAGGAUUUUUUACUCAGAGUUUUGAAUGGCUUAGGCCCUGGCUAUUUAGAUCCGGUCUCGAUCAUUACUACAAAUAAGAUGAGUUAUGAUGGUGCUUAUGCUUUGUUACUGACACAUGAAGGCAGACUUGAACAAAAUCAGAGUGCCAAAACUAUGUUUAAUGCAAAUUACAGUACAAUGAAUGUGAAUCAUCCUUAUAUGAGAGGAAAUUUUAGAAGAGGUGCUUUUGGAAAUGGACAUUAUGGUCGAUCUGUGAAUAGAGGAUUUAAUGUGGGAAGUAUCCCAGAGGAUUUCCAACUCAUAUUGACAAUUUUGGAGGUUAUGGCAGAGGAUAGGCAAUGCAAUUUUUCAAGCCACCUGUGAAACCAAAAUUUCAUCCUUCAGCUAACAUGCACUUUGAUAAAUCAUUAACUAUAUGUCAGAUAUGUCACAAGUCAGAUAUGUCACAAGCCAGGACACACAGCAAAUGAAUGUUGGCAAAGAUAUGAUGACACUCUUUUACCAUUACCUAAACACUUUGGAAGGGGUAAAUCAAUUGGAUCAAAGGCUGAAGGCUGCUUAUAUAGCUAAUUUUAAUCCAUUUACCAAUUAUGCUGCUCCAACAAUUGAAGAAUAAUAUGUUGCCCCUUACUCAAGUUACAAUCAUAUAUCCCACUCAUCUUAUUCAUCAAUAGAGACAGUUGUUCCUGAAGCUUACCUUACCAACUAUGAAGAACCUGCUGAUGAAUAAUGGUACCUUGACAGCGGUGCCACACAUCACUUGACCAACAAUAUGGCUAAUAUGAAUGUCAGAGAGGAGUUCAAAGGAUCAGACCAACUCGUCACCGGCAAUGGACAAAGUUUGCCUAUAACUCACAUUGGUGAUGCAUGUUUUACUUACAAAAGAUCAAAUGUUGUAUUUAAACCAACACAUAUCUUGCUUAAAGACAUGUUAUUAGUGCUUGAUAUCACAAAGAAUUUACUGAGUAUAUCAAAACUGACAAUUGAUAACAAUCCUUCUGUUGAAUUUGUUGGCAAUGUCUGUUAUGUGAAGGAUUCUUUGAAGAGGUAAGUGCUUCUAAAAGGAAUUGUUGAGAAAGGAUUGUAUAAGCUGCUUCUAAAGCCAUCUGAGUCUAUUCUUUGUUCUUUCCUGUGCCAAUCUUCGUCCAUUCAACCAUUAUCAAUGUUGUUUACAUACUCUUUUGACUCAAGUGUUCUUAAAAAUACUCAUAAUAAUGAUUCCAGCUAUGUCUCAUCUUGUAAUACAUCAAUCAGUAAAUUUUCUAGCUAUAUUCUAUCUUGUGAUGCAUUGAAUAAUAAAAUUCUUCUUUUACACAGGCGUUUUGGCCAUCAUAAUUCUCAAACUCUAAUGCAUUUGCUAAAAAGUGUCACUUCUGUUAAUCUCUCAAGUAAUAUCAUAAAAUAAGCACUUGAACAGGUCUGUGAAGCAUGUCAAAUGGGCAAAUCUCAUAAACUGCAUUUCCCUAGCACAGAAACCAAAGCAACAAAACCCCUUGAACUUAUACACAUGGACUUAUGGGGACCUUCACCCACACCUUCUAGAGAUGACUAUAACUAUUACAUAAACCUUCUUGAUGAUUUUAGCCGAUAUACUUGGAUUUAUCCUCUUAAACUAAAAUCAGAAGCAUUAGAUGUUUUCAAGUUAUUCAAAUUGCAGGUUGAAAACCAAUUUAACACCACUAUUAAGAACUUGUAAUCUGACUGGGGGGGGGGGGGGAGAAUACAGAUCAUUUACUUAAUUCUUAAACCAAUAUGGAAUCAUUUUUAGACACUCUUGUCCUUAUACACAUCAUCAAAAUGGGUUAGUAGAAAGAAAACAUAGACACAUUAUUGAGCUAUGACUCACCUUAUUAGCAUAAGCCAAGUUACCAUUUAAAUUUUGGUGGGAUGCCUUUCAUACAGCUGUUUAUCACAUUAAUAGAUUACCACCUACAACCCUGAAACUUCUUACUCCAUAUGAGAAUUUUCAAACACAAACAUGAUUACAACAUGCUCAAGUGCUUUAGUUGUACAUGUUAUCCUUACUUGAGAGAUUAUAACAAGCACAAGUUUGAUUAUCACUCAAGCAAAUGCAUUUUCCUUGGCUACAGUCCAUUCCAUAAAGGAUACAAGUGUCUAUAUUCAUAAGGCAAAAUAUACAUAGCCAAACAUGUUGUUUUUUAUGAGUCUACAUUCCCUUAUUCCACAGAUUUAGUUUUUCAUUCCAAUGAAUCAUCAUCCUAUUCAAGUUAAUCUUUUACACCUCAGUAUACCAUUUAUCCACAUUACCUAUAAUACCAGUUUCAAUUGUAAACAGUUCAUGCAAUCCUCAAUCUGUAAUUUCUACCAGUAGUAGCUCUCAACAUUCAGAUAAUCCUCCUCAUACUGACAAUCAACAUUCCCAUUCACAAUCACGCAUACCAACCAUUGAACCAUCUAUAGAGCCUCAAAUUUCACCACCUCAACUUGUAUCCUACACAUCAACAUCUAUUCAACCUAAUGUACAUCCCAUGACUACCAGAAGCAAAGCUGGUAUCUUUAAACCCAAGCUUUAUACAUCAACCCUUAUUUACAAAGAACUUGACUCUGUGUAUGAAGCUAUGCAAAAUCCAAAAUGGGUUACAGCCACAAGAGAAGAAUAUGCAGCCUUAAUACAUAAUGAUACAUGGUCCUUAAUGCCGAGAACAGCUGACUAGAAAGUUGUUGGAAAUAAGUGGGUAUACAGGGUGAAAUAUAAUACUAAUGGAAGUGUGGCCAAAUACAAAGGUAGGUUAGUAGCAAAGGGGUUCAACAGAUUAUGAGACUGAAUUGUUUUGAAACAUUUAGCCAUUUCAUAAAACCAGCAACUGUGAGAGUGGUCUUAAUUCUAGCUGUGAUGAAUCAGUGGAAAAUAAGGCAAAUGGAUGUGAAUAAUGUCUUUCUCAUUGGAGAGUUAACAAAGGAAGUGUUCAUGGAUCAACUAGAAGGGUUUAUUAGUGCUGAGAAACCAGAUUAUGUAUGUAAGCUUCAUAAAUCCCUUUAUGGUCUUAAAUAAUCUCCAAGAGUUUGGUAUGAUAAGCUGAAAGAAUGCUUAUUAGAGUGGGGAUUUACAAAUUCCAACUCAGAUACUUCCUUGUUCUUGAAAAGAAGUAAGUUAUUUGUGAUCCUAAUCCUUAUAUAUGUUGAUGACAUCUUAAUAACAAAACCAAACAAUUCUGAGCUAGAGAACUUUAUUGCUGAAUUCAGUACAAAAUUUGCUCUGAAAGAUCUUGGAGCUCUUUCUUAUCUCUUAGGCAUUGAAGUGUUAUAUGAUACAGAUUAUAUUUUCUUGUCUAAAGUGAAAUACAUAAGGGAUUUAUUGUCAAUGGUUGAAAUGAUCAAUUGUAAAGACAUUGAUACUUUUAUGAGUACAUGGCAGAAACUACAGAAGGAAGCUCAAGGAAAUCUUGGUCAUUAUGUUGAAGAUGCAACAUAUUAUAGAAGCAUUGUUGGUGGAAUGCAAUAUUUGGUAUUAACAAGACCAGAAAUUGCUUCAGGGUACACAAAUUAAGUCAAUAUGUCUCUGUACCAACACUGCAGCACCUUAUGGAAGUGCUUAGAUACUUAAAGGUAACACAAGACUAUGGACUCAAGUUUAUUAAGGAUGGUGAUAUGAGACUAACAGGUUUCACAGAUGCAGAUUGGGCAGGGGAUUUGGAUGACAAGAAGCAGUUGGUGCCUACUGUAUCUACCUUGGUCAUAAUAUGAUAUCUUGGUCAUCUAAGAAACAACCAGUCAUUGCUAGAUCAAGCGCAGAGAAUGAAUACAGGUCCUUAGCCUCAGCAAGUGCAGACAUAAGCUGGCUGCAAUAAUUGUUUUCUGAAUUGAAAUUGCAGUGCACAGAAAAGCUUGUUAUUUGGUGUUAUAAUCUUAGUGCUACUGAACUAGCUCAUAAUCCAGUUUUCCAAUAAAGGACUAAACAUAUUGAGAUCGAUAUGCAUUAUGUCAGAAACAAAGUUUUUGCUGGAGAAUUAAAUAUUGAAUACAUACCAAGUAAGGAGCAGGUAGCUGACAUUAUGACCAAACCACUUUCAUUCAUUCGGUUUAAUUAUCUAAGAGCCAAACUCAAUGUCAUUCCUUGUCCUUUGAGUUUGAGGGGGGCUGUUAAAGUAGUUCAUUAUUCAAGCUUAAUAAAGUCACGUCAGCAGAAAGUUGUUAAGUGAAGAAUAGCAGCUUAGCAUGAUUUGUUAAAGGUCAUUGUCCAGCUCAUAAAAUCAUUAUGUAACAAAUUGUAGCUAACUUGUUAGUUAGAAAAAAUUUGUUAGUUACAAGUUAUUGUCACGUGUGAGUAGUUGUAUAUAUAUAUACAUUGAUUUGUAAAUGAUGAUAUGGAAUGAAUCUUAUGGAAAUUCAUUGUUUCAUUUUCUCUGAAAUUUUCCUUUGAGCCAAACAGCACAUCUCUGUUUUUCUACAAAUGUGAAUUAGGCACAUACACAUCACUGAAAGAAAUGGUCAGCAAUGAGGCUUUCAACUUCUACCCUUUUCCUUUUAUGUUGUAUUCUAUUUUCUCAGUGCCAGCGACCCACCCUCGCAGCUAAACAAGUAAUUAGCAUUUUAAUUAAUUUUCUUUCUUCCUCCAUUAUUAUUUAAGCAUUUAUCUUGGUUGCUGUUAUUUCUAGGAAUGAUUUAAUAAUUAUAUUGUGAAUGCUAAAGUUUUUUUCAUUUAAAAUGAAUGCAGUCUUAUGUAGUUUACUUGGGAGCUCACUCGCAUGGACCGGAACUAUCAUCUGUUGAUCUAAAUCGUGUGACUCAAUAUCAUCAUGAGUUUCUUGGAUCAUUCUUGGGAAGGUCAAGCCUUAGAACUUGCAAUAACCAUGGGAUUGACAAGAAAUUUACGUUAGACCGGACUUUUGUUAUAUAUCCAGUCUGAUAACAUUUUUUUUAAUUGUUAAAUAGUAAUGAAAAUCCUGAAGAUGCUAUCUUUUACUCGUACACAAGACACAUCAAUGGCUUUGCUGCAAAAUUAGAUGAUGCUGUAGCAGCUGAGAUGGCAAGUAAGAAACUGAAACUGGGCUCCUCUGUAUAUGUUCUUUGCUUUUAUCUGAUCUUUCUUGAUGAGUAACUGGGCUGGGUUCUUUGUGUAAUGUAGAACAUCCAAAAGUAGUUUCAGUUAUGGUGAAGAAUGGGAGGAUUUCUUGGACUCGAGCAGAAUGGGAGGAUUCCACCAAACUCGAUUUGGGAAAAGGCAAGAUAUGGUGAAGAUAUCAGUAUUGGAAACAUCGACACUGGUGAGGUCUUUAUCCUCGUAUUAUGACAAGGAAAUUACUUGAAACUGAUUUUCUCUGCUUUGAAAAUAUCAUAAUAAUAAGUAUCACAAUAUUUCAAUGGGAUUGUUCGUUAUAUACUAGGGCUCUGGCCAGAAUCCAAAAGCUUUAGCGAGGAAGGAUUUGGACCGAUUCCAUCUAAGUGGAAAGGAAUUUGCCAAAAUGACAAAGAUUCUCAGUUUCAUUGCAACAGGUUCCUUAAAUCCCUAGGCUUUUGAUUAUGCUCGCUCUAUUGCUUCUCUUGUAUAACUUUUUGCACCUUCAUUGAAUCCUACAUCUUUGAUGCGGUUGUAGACUGUAGUGAGAAUUUUUUCUUUUUUUUUUGGGGGGGGGGAUGGGGGGGGGGGGGGGGGGUAAAUAUAGUCUGAGAAAAAUGUUGGUGUUUCCAUUGAAGGAAGCUAAUUGGAGCAAGAUACUUCAACCAAGAGUAUGUUUCUUCCUUUUAUUCUCCGCGUGACAUAUAUGGACACGGAACACACACAUUAUCAACUGCUGGUGGCAAUUUUGUAGCUGGGGCAAGUGUAUUUGGCUUUGGCAAAGGGACAGCAAAAGGAGGAUCACCAAAAGCAAGAGUGGCGGCUUACAAAGUUUGGUGGGAAGGAUUAGGCGGAUGUUUUGAUGGAGAUAUAAUUGAAGCCUUCGAUAUGGCCAUUCAUGAUGGCGUAGAUGUGUUAUCUGUUUCAUUAGGCAGUGAAAAGCCCUCACAAUUCCUCGAAGACGGCAUUGCAAUUGGCUCUUUUCAUGCUGUUCAACAUGGUAUUUUGGUGGUUUGCUCUGCCGGUAAUGAUGGUUUGGUAGAUGGUGCUGUAGCAUACGGCACUGUAGCAAAUGUGGCAAAUCGUAGUUGGGGCUAGCACAAUGGAUCGAGAUUUCCCUAAUUAUGUCGUCCUUGGCAAUAACAAAAGUUUAAAGGUCAAUAUAUAUUUUUGUUCACUUUCUUUUAGUGUUUUUCGCACCUGAAAUCCUUUGACCAUAUGUGCUUAUUUAUCAACAACAUACAUUUGAUUUUGAAGGGACAAAGCUUAUCAGAGAAAGGUCUUCCAAGUGACAAGCUCUUCCCUUUAUCAGUGCCAAAGAUGCUAAACUAGCUAAUGCAUCAGUAGAAAAUGCGUAAGAGUACAAUAUUUUUUCAUUUCAUAUUUUCAAUUCUAUUUUCAAGUGCAAGAAGCUUUGGAUUCACUGCGAAAUUUGUUCCUAUUGAAGCUUGGUAUGCAAGAGAGGAACACUAGAUCCUAAGAAGGUGAAUGGAAAGAUCUUGGUUUGCCUUGAUGGAAAUUCUAGAAGGGUAGACAAGGGACUACAGGCAGUCUUAGCUGGUGCUGCUGGCAUUGUUCUUGUCAAUUUACCCGAAUAUGGCAAUGAUCGUAUGACUGAACCUCAUGUCCUUCCUGCUUCAGAUAUCAACUUCAAUGAUAGUAUUUCUUUAAAUAGUUACAUCACUUCAAUCAAGUAAGAUUACAAGCAUACCUUACAUUUCAUCAGCUAUCAUGAAAUUAGUACCACUGUAACUUGCUUUUCUCCUUUGACAGGCAUCCUGUUGGUUUCAUUACGCGUCCAACCACAGAAUUUGGAACAAAGCCAGCUCCAUUUAUGGCUGCUUUUUCAUCGAAAGGGCCAAACAUGAUUACCCCAGAGAUUCUCAAGGUACUAUAUAUAAAAUGGCAACUCAAUAUAAUAUCUUUUAUCUUUUAUGCUGCCAGAAUUGAAUAAUUAGCCGUUUUACUUUCAUUUUCAGCCUGAUAUCACCGCACCAGGAGAGAAUAUAAUCGCUGCCUAUACUGAAGCAGAAAGCCCAACAAACCUAAAUGAGGACAAGCGCCGGAUUCCAUUCAACUCUAUCUUAGGAACUUCAAUGUCAUGUCCUCAUAUUUCUGGUAUUGCCGGCCUGCUCAAAACCCUCCAUCAUGAUUGGAGUCCUGCAGCAAUUCAAUCAGCCAUCACGACCACAGGUACAUCAAAACUAGUCCUUGAAACGUUUAUUGUUUUCGGUUUUGAUAUUUUGUUUGUCCUUGUAUUUCACAGCAACAACACUGGAUAACAACAAGCAACAAAUUUUGAAUGCUUCAUUUGCUGAAGCAACAACCUUCAGUUAUGGAGCAGGCCAUGUGCAACCAAACCUCGCAAUGGAUCCUGGAUUGGUUUAUGACUUAACGGUUAACGAUUACUUGAACUUUCUUUGUGCACUGGGAUACAACAAAAAUGUAAUUUCAUUGUUCUCAACAAACUGCUCUUACACAUGCC